CAAACGGAACAGAAGGGAAGUGUUGAUCCAAUAGCCAAGGCUAGGGAGGUACUUCAAGAAGCUGUCAUUAGCAAAGAUGAUGGAAAGGCUCAGGGCGAUAAUAAUGACGAGAAGGAAGGAGCAAAAGACCCUGAUGACAUUUUGGUUUUUGCUAGAGCUGUUCACCACACUGAUUCCUCGCUUGAUUGAUAUAUAGCUACAUGACGAGAAGUAUCUAUGAAGUGUAAAUGAGACGAAGAGGGUUUUAGAGGUGACUGGCCAGUCUAAGUUACUGUACAAUUUUCAGUUUGUUUCAAUAUGAGAGUUGGAAAUCACAAGUUUAAAUUGUUCUUACUCAUUCUUGAUUCUUAAUUCUUUACGGAAAGGAGAGUAGCAAAAGCAUGACAGGAUUGAUUAUGCACAACAUAAUUUUGGAUGGGAAGGAUAUUGCAGAUAUUAAAUAUUCUACUCAAGAUUUGUGAGUUGCAACCAUAUAUCACCUCAGAGAUCUAAGCCAAGAAAAGAUUGUUCCAUAUGAAAAAUCGCAAAAAAAGUCUUAAUUUCUCCAAAUUUUCAAAGGCGAGGUUCUUUUACUUGCCUGGUACAUCUUCUUAGUUAUUGGAGAGAUCAUUAGAGUAUAUCACUUAGGUCCUUUGCAAGUAGGAUGAAGUAACUAAAUCCAUUUUUGUCAUGCUUUGUGCUCAUGGCAUGUAUCUUAAUAUGAGAAGAAGAUAAAGAGAAUUUAUAAUGAAAUGACAAAAAGGACAAUAGUGCAUGUUUCCAACCAUGAAUUUUUAAUUCAGAUGCUUUCUAUCGGUCACAUUGAAUACUUAAGCUAUGCAUACAGCCAUACGGGUCCACACAUUGGAUGUCUUUUACUACUCUCAUCUCCAUACCAAUUUACAUUUUUAUAUACGAAAUGGGAUUGCUAAGUUAGUGAAGUUACGGCUACUAUCCUGGUCACUACACUCAGCAAUGUCCUUUAAACUAGUCCAAGAUUUUCUCUUCCGCUUGCUUGAUGGUAUGGAAGCUUUCUUUGCAUCAACAGGAACAGAACUGCUUUCUGAUUCAACAAUUUUCUUGGAUCCUGAUCUAGUCCUUUUCCUCUUUCUUGUAUCCAACAAAGUCUCAACUUUAGCCGAGGGAGUUGUAGAACUGUCAUUCGCAGGAUCCUUGUUAAUUAUUUUUUGUGAAGCAAUUCCAUCCACCUUGGACAUGGGAUCAUUUUUGCUUGCUGUAAUGACCUUUGCUUUGGCAAACUUUGGAUGACUUGAUUUGGUAGGAUCUGAUUUUGAAGAGACUUUGGGCUUCGAUGGACACAACUCUUUCAUGUAGCCUUUCGGGGUUCCUCUCUUCAAGUUUCUAUGCGAACAAAAGUGGCAGCUGUAAACCACACUGUUUUCAAUCGAAAGACUACGUUUCUUGCGCCUUCGCUUUGGAUUUGGUUUUAUCUUCUCAAUCCGAACCGUACAAUUAUAGCCAGGUUGAAGAAUAGAUUCACACCUGUAGAAAAAUUACAAUGGUAAUCAAAACAUUAGACACGCAGAUGAAUGUUUGUAUUAUAAUCCACCACCAUGGUGGUAACAACAUUAAGAUUGUACUGCAGUAUCUCCUUUGCUUCUAUACAAUCAAGAAAAAUAGUCUUGCAAGAAUCGAUCUUUAGUAGCAAAGAGCCAGAAGGAACCAUCCAGGCAGUGAAAACAUCUAGAAAUAUGGGUGAGCAUCGUUGCAUCAGCCAUCUGCAUAAAGGGUUAUAUUAGGACUUCAUUCUACAUCUAUGCUUCCUUCCUUCGCUUUCUUGCUCUAGCUGAGGGCAACUAGAGAUAAUAACUUGGGCCAAUGAGUGUUGUACUCAGACCUAUAUGUCAGUUUUAGGAAUGAUAUUACUUCCAAAACAAUUCGUUGUUGUAGAAAUACCAGUUAAUCUUCGAGUCAUGAAAUUCACUAGCUACUCCUAGAUAGAAGCACAAACAAAAUAUGUUUAUCCGAAACAUCAAGCAUGUUUGAGGAGAUUGGUUUCACGGAAGUAUUUUCCCAAAAUACGGUAAGACGGCCUUCUAUAAGCUACUAGAGCAAAUUCUACAAGAACGUUGUGUGUAAAAACUUGAUUGUCCAAAACAGUUUACUCCAUUACAGAGAAGAGGUCAUAAUCUGAUAGACAUACACGUAAUUUAACUGUACCGCAUCACAAACCAAAGCCUUUAAGCCUCUAAAAUUCCUAGGAACUAAUCAUGGAAGCACUAAAUCAAACUAAAAAACGUUACUACUGAAAUAGAACACAACAACUCUAAUACAACCAAAUAGGACUUGUAUCGAACAUGUAGAAUACGCCACAAGUAGAAAGCACAAAAACGAUAGGAAAAAUGGGAAGAAUUUAGGGGACCUCUGGCAGGAGAACAAUGAAGGGUCAGGAGGAACACCCAAGGCUUCAGCAGUGGCAGCCAAGCGGUGGCCAAAAAAAGCACCUAGUGAACAUACGGAAGCUUCGGCAGUAGCCCAGAUAGCGAGGUUUUUAAGGUGGUCCAAUUUCAACAUGGACUUGGGAUUUACGCUGCUCUGUUUCUUUCCGCUAGAUUCUUCUCUCAUUGUUCCUGAAGGAGCCUGCUGCAAGUGUGGCUGUGAAGAUAUUGCCGCUGCUGCUGCUGUGGAUGAAUUCUUCUUCUUACCCAUCGCUACUCAAAUUUGGAAACUCAAUAAAAGUAUCAAAAUAUGUUUUAAACACUUAAUGAGGAAUCGCAGCCACAAUAUCAAGAACAGUAACAGUAAGAUUCAAACUAGUAAAUAGUCUGAUAAUACCUGAAACAAAAAAGAAAAAGAAUCAGAUAAUUACCCAAAUCAACUUAGCUAGUUGGUGGGGUUUUGAUUGUUUGGACCAACGAAAUAGAAUAGAAAGCAGUGCCAGAGAGUGGCAGCAGCAGGGAAGAAGAGGGAGGAAUGAUUGAGGGACGGAAUAAAAGGAGAAACUCAGGUAGAGGCCGCAUGAGUCUUAUGACUUACAGUCUGGGCUGGGACAAGAUGGGUUCGAGACAGUUUAGCCCAGGUCAUGGUAUUCGGGCCAAAUAACUACUACUAGUCUACUACUUGUUUUCUUUGUGAACAGAUUUCGACACAAAAUAGUGCGGGAUAAUUUCAUAAACCCCCCUGAGAUUUUUUAUAAUUACAACCACCACCUUUAAAGUUUGAAAAAUUACACUUAUCCGUGCGUCCGAUCCUGAGGUGACUGCAAUUGUUUAAAAAACUCAAGGAGGUUCCUGAAAUUAUACCGUGCAACAAUGAAGAUAUUGGCUUCAGCCUCCUCGCUCCCAAACUUUAACUAACACAAGAUAAAAUUUUUAUACUCCAAGAAAAACUUUUCAUGUUAGCAUAGAAUUAUAGUGAAUUUUAUGGUGAGAGCAUUUAAUAAUUGAAAAAAUGUAGUUUGGUCCAUUCUAAUUUGGUCUAUACAAUAGGAACUACUUCCAUAUAAUAUGUUAUCCAUGUAAUCCUCUCUAGCUCACUCCCUAUUAACAUGAGGUGGUUUAGGUAUAACAACUGGAGUUUUAUAGACUUCAAGAGCUGCAUAUCUUGCUGCUAGGACUGAAGUGGCGGCACCAAUUACAAUAGCAUCCUCAUCAUCAUCACUAUCGGGAUCCAUCUAUGAAAAUUUAAUAUAAUUAUUAAUUGAUUGCAUGCAUAUAAUUGUUAAUUAGGAUUUAAAGAUGUACUUACCAAUGGAAUACCUUAGCGAAUGUGUAAGGAGUACGAUUACUUGAACAGAAAUUCGCAACAGAAAUCCAACUGCCGCCCAAAACCAUGAUGCCAAUAAGAUUACUUGUUUGGGUAAUAAACAUUUAAUUCACGUAGCAGUAGAUUAUUAGUAGUGUACCAGAAAAAGCCAGAGUGAUGCAGGGGUCUCAAAUGCAGAGUGAUGCAGGUUAUACCAAUAGCAGUUAAUGUUCUCCUUAAAUGUGGGCGGGCCCAAGAAGAAUAAGAGUAUAUAAAGGACAUAGGAAAAGAAAGUUAGCUUGUGUUCAUAGUUCAGCUGUUUCAGCACCCGAGACAGAGGAAAAGAAACAAUAUGAUUGUGUAGUCUCCUAAAACUUUUGUUAGCUACUUCAUUACUUUUUCCCAGAGAACCCCUUCCAAUGAAUCACGUUAAAAAGUGGACAGGAUUGGUAAAACAAUCUUGCUGCUGAAAUCUGAUAUUAAAAUAGGAGAGUGCAACUGUCUGUACAAAUGUUGCACGAAAUCUGCAUGAACAUGCAAAUACUAAGUCCCGAAGUGAUCUGUGGCUUUUCUUUCUGAUUAAACAUCUAUACAGGUCCACUUCAGUUUACAGGAAAGACAGCAAAAAAAAUCAAUUAUGCGCUGAUGUUGGAGCUUGGGGCGCAGGCUUAGCCCUAUUGGCUUGAGCUGGUUCUACUUGUGAUGACACAUUUCAAUAGAACUGAACUCAUUCUUCAAAUAUAGAAUUUUAAGUAGGACGAAUAUAGUCAGACAUUAUAGGAUCUGUUAUGAUUCACGAAAAACAAGAAUAUCAUUAUAGCUUGUUAACUGCAACGCUGGGAGAUUCUUUGCUCUCUGGGAUGAACACAAGCAAACUGUUUUCCUUCCUAAUCAGAUUUUGUCAACUAUUUACAAAUGGUCUCGCCAGACUGUAAGAAAAACACUACCCUACCCUACCCUACCCGGAUUCUGAUUCCAAGAAUCAUAAAACCCCCAAAACUCAGCAGCCAAAUUAAUUCAUUAGCAUCAAUCAAAUCAGAUUUAACCCUAAUCAGGUAAGAACAAACUAAAACAAAAGCAACUCACAAAAAUUCAUUCAAAUCCAACUUCAAGAAUCUACACCAGUAUUCUAGACAAUUUUUCAAAGGAAAAGGGAGGAAAAAAAGGCUAAUAAGAGACCAUCAUACCUCUGGAAAUACUUAAGGAGUUUUCACCCUUGUUGGAAAUGCUACUGUAGGAACGGGAAUGAGAUUGUGCUUAGGCCGUCAAACAAGCUUCUGAGGCUGCAUAAGCAAACGCAUCCACAAUGGCGGGCACAGCUCACAAACAAAAAGCAGACUGAAGAGUCAGAGAGGGAGAUGGUUACCGGCCGCAAUGGCUAAGUCUAGUUCCGAUGACUAGAGAAAUGGACCACACAAACUCACACUCACACAAACGCAUCCACACAUGACUUGAGCCGUUGAUAUUGGCCGCUUUCAAAGGAAAAAAAUAUAUGAGAGAGAGAGAGAGAGAGAGAUGCCGGAGUAGCUCACCUGAUGAGAUGCCAAAGAGAGAGAUGCCGGGAAUGAAAGUUAUUUUCCUGAUGAGAUGUCGCUGAUGAGAUCGAAAACCCUUGCUGGAGCCGUGAAAAGAAGAGGAAAAUAACUUCUUCAACAAUGAUAGAUAAUAAGGAAGUUAACCCGUGGGUAUAUCCGAAAUUAUUUUUCUAAAUUAAUUAAUAAUUAAACAAUGAAAAAUAUUUUUUAGAAAAUCUUUUUCAUCCAAACAAACAGAUCCUAAGUAUAAAUUAUAGGGUCUGUUUGGAUAGCUUGUUUUUGGGACUGUUUUUGAAAAACUGUUUUUCACAUUCCAAAUGCUACAAUAAAUGUGUAUUUCAAAAACAACUCCAAAAACACCAUAUCCAAACAAUAUAUCAAAAACAACUCCAAAUAAAUAUUUAAUAUGUUUAUUUCAAUUUGUAUAUUUCAAUUAUGUAUAGGAUAUAUAUAUAUAUAUAAUAUUAAUUUAAAUAUAUUUAUUUAUACAUAUUAUAAAUAUUUUAUUUUAUAAAUAAAUAUAUAUUGGAUAAAAUAUAUUUUUAUAUAUUUAUAAUAUAUUUAUAUAAAUAUUAUAUAUUAUAAAUUAUAUAAAUGAUAUAUAAUAAUAUGUAAUUAUACAUUUAUAAAAAUAUUAUAUAUUAUAUAUAUUUGAUAUAUACAUAAUAUAUAUUAUAUAUAUUAUACAUUUAUAUAAAUGUACAUUUAUACAUAAUAUAUAUAUUUAUGUAUAUUUAUAAUAUACUUUUAUAUUAUGUAUUAUAUAUAAUAUAAUACAUUUAUAAUAUAUUUAUACAUUUAUAUUAAUAUACAUAAUAUUAAUUAUACAUUUAUAUAUAAUAUUAAUACAUUUAUACAUUUAUAUUUAAUAUAUUAAUACAUUUAUACAUAAUAUUAACAUAUAUUUAUAAUAUAUUAAUUUAUACAUUUAUAUAAUAUUCAUUUAUAAUUUAUACACAUUUAUACAUUUAUAAAUAUAUUUAUAUUAUGUAUUAUAUAUAAUAUAUUUAUUAUAUAUAUAUAUUUAUAUGUAUUAUAAAUAAAUAUAUUUAUUUAUAAAUAUUUAUAAAUGUAUUAUAAAUGCAUAAAUGUAUAUAAAUAUAAAAAUAUAAAAUUUAUAAUUUAUAAUUUAUACAUUUAUACAUUUAUAUAAUAUUCAUUUAUAAUUUAUACACAUUUAUAAUAAUAUACAUUUAUACAUUUAUAAUACAUUUAUAUAUUUAUUUAUAAAUAUAUAAAUAUAUUUAUUUAUAAAUAUAUAAAUAUAUUUAUUUAUAAAUAUAUAAAUAUAUUUAUUUAUAAAUUUAUUAUAAAUGCAUAAAUGUAUAAAAAUAUAAAAAUUAUAAACUAUAAAUUAUAAUUUAUACAUUUAUAUAAUAUUCAUUUAUAAUUUAUACAUAGGGGUGCAAACGAGCCGAACCGAGUCAAACAUUGAACUUAUUGAGCCAGACUCGACUACUGUAUAUUCGAGUUCGAACUCGAGCUCGAGAAAAUUGAGCUCGAGCUCGACUCGACUAAGUAAGAAACUGGCUCGAGUUCGACUCGAUAAGGCUCGAUUUACUCAACUCGACAAGAGCUCGAAAUGGCUCGAAUUCAGCUCAAAAAUUUCUAUCACUAAAUAUAACCAGCUUUAUUUAACCUGACUCCAAUAGCACGUUUUAACCUAUUCAAUGCCUUGCAAACUUGAAUAUAACAAUUCCAAACAUGAAUUAAAAGUAACAACAAACAAGUUUUUCAUUGUCCAAUAAAUGAGAUCAAUUUUUUUUUCAAUAACAGCCCAUCUAGUAACAGAAAUAUAACAGAAAUGAAAGAAAAAGGAACAUCCUGAAGCAUACAAAGUGCUCCACACGAUUAACUCUGUUGAGAAAGUAUGAAACAACUUCUAAGCAAAAGGAACAUCCUGAAGCAUACAAAACUGAGCCUAAAACAUAAACAGCAAAAAAACCCAAAUUGCAGCUAGUAAACUCUUUUCCUAAUGUCUAUAAACUCCUGUUUUCCCAGGUUUGGAAUAUUAAAUGUAGUGCAACGCAAAUCCAAUCGUAGCAUAAGCCAAGAUUAUGUAAAAUAAAAAAAAUCAUAUCAAAGAUUAUGUUUAAUUACCUUCUUAGUUGAGUUUUGCAUAUUUACUCUGACCCUUGACUAAAUAUCAUCAAAGUCAUUCCAUUUACUCUUAGUGCACAAAUCUGUCAUAUCUUUAACAUUUAUACUUUCUCCUAUCACCAGCAGCCGAAAAGGUCAUUUAUACUUUAACAUUGAUUAAGUUCACUAAGCACAUAAUUUCUAAACGCAAUCCAGCUUGCAUUUUCUAACAGGACAAGCUAAAAAUUACCCCAGAAUGAGAAAAUAAAAAGUGAACAAUCAAAAACUACAAACCAAAAUUAUUUCAAUCAAACAGAAGGUAUAUUCCAUGAAAAUGUAUGUAAGAAGUUAAAAAAAGAAACCCAACGUUCUUACCAAUCUUCAAAAACCGUCCUAAAUCCAAACUCAAAAAAAAAAAAAAAAAUAAGGAGAAAAAAAUACAUAGACAAAAACGCUUGUUCCAACUUCCAAUCAAUAUCAGUACAAUCUUAAUUCACCGAAUACCUGAGAAGAGACAAAUUUUUUUUUUCGGCUAAUUGAUUGAAAUUGGGGACGGAAAUGGGAAGGAAGAGGCGAUCUAAGUCUAACGAGAGCUCCAGCUCCGUCGCCAUUAACAGGAAAGAGGAAAUUAAUAGUAAUAAUUUUACAUCUAUACAUUAUACAACAGGAACGAGGUGAAGAAGUCGAUCUGGCUUUAAUGACAGGAAACAAUCACUUAUUCUACCACCAAGCAUCAUUAUACAGCAACAAAAACAGAGAAUAAGGGAAUAAGAGUGAUGGAUUACCUGUUCGCGAGGCCCUCCACCAAUGGAGCUGAUGAAAUGUCUACCGUAGCUGAGUCUAACGUUGGCCAACAAACUGGGACUCGGAGAGAAAGGGCUCUUCAAUUGAAGGACGGCAGUGGUGGUGGCAGAAGUGGCCAACUGGUGAGUGGUGAAAACAGUGGUAGCGGCGGCUAGGGUUUGCUUUUGAUUUGGGGAAAGAGGAAUGCCGAGUUGCCGACAGCGGAACAGCCGAGUGGGAAGAAGAAAGAGGCGUGUUUGUGUUAGGGGUGUCCGCUGUCUUGGUCCUUAGUCCUUGGAGAAAUUGUAUCUAGUUUCUAGUUUAGUAAUUAGUUAAAUAAGUAGGGGUAUUUAUGUAAUUUUACACGGCUCGCGAGCUCGCGAGGCUCGAACUCGACUCGUAUUAUAAACAAGCUGGCUCGAACUCGAUAUUGACUGAGCUCGAGUCGAGCGUUGACCGAACUGCUCGCGAGCAGUUCGAUUCGUUUGCACCCCUAUUUAUACAUUUAUAAAUAUAUUUAUAUUAUGUAUUAUAUAUAAUAUAAUACAUUUAUAUAUUUUUAUAUAAAUAUAUUUAUUUAUAAAUAUUUAUAAAUAUAUUAUAAAUGUAUAAAUAUAUAUUGUUAUAAAAAUAUAAAAAUUAUAAAUUAUAAAAAUACUCGAAAAUAUGUUUUAAAAAUACAUCAAAAAAUAAUCCGUAAAACAUCUAUAGUAGAAGUUUGGAAUAUAGUUUUUGAAAAAUAAUUCCAAAAACAACUAAUUCAAACGGACUUGUAUUUGAAAAACGAAAUGCUACAGUGCUGUUUUUGAAAAACAACCCUAAAAAUAGCUAAUCCAAGCAGAGUCUAGUCUUUCAAAAAAAAAUGUAAGCGGCUUUUGAGAUUUACAUUAGAUUUGUAAAGUUAUAAAAGUCUUACGAAAGGUUUUGAUAAAAAAAAAGAGUAUAAAAUAUAGGAGAGAGAGAGAGAAGGUGAGUGUCAAAUUCUAUAUAUAUCGAAAUUUUCUUCUAUUAUUCAAAUUAUUAUUUUUUUUUUGACAAACGUAUUAUUCAAAUUAUUAUUUGAUAAUAGGAUUGUUAAUAGGAGUAGAUCAAGUUAAAUUCAGUUUGUGCGACCCGAAAAAAAGAUUACUGAAUCCAAAUCUCAUAUAAUAACAUAAAUUGAGUUUUAAAUUUUUAAUAUAAAUUUAAAGUCUAAAACCCAAAAAUUCAUAUAAUUUAUGAGGUGAGUUUGAGUUCACUAAGGCUGGAUUCAAAAAGUCAAUUGAUAAUUUGAUAUCAAUGUCAAUUUUAAAUAUGAUGGAUUGUUAAAGAAUUCCCCAAUCCACCCACUACAACUAUGGAGAAUUUUUUUUUUUUUAAGAAAAAGAAAAUUAUAUAGGGCAAUUACCGGAUAACCAUCUUGUUCCAGGGCUUCUACAAAAUCCCAACCCAACACUUGGCGCCUUAAAAUUUUCGGACCUGGAAGAAACCGCCUAGCUAGCUUACUAGCUCAUGACAUUUGCCCUCUCGGGUACGAACACUCUCUCUCACACACUGGCACACUCAUUAAUCACACACAGUAAUCGCAAUGGGUAAUCGGAGGUUCACUCAGAUGCCGCCGAGCGAUGACGAGGACGACGGGCCACCGCCACCACCUCCGCCGCCGCGGCGGAGCUCAGCGAACGGUGACGAGGAGAAAACGAACCAAAGGAAGCGGAAGAAAAUGAAGCUCGUCGACGAAGAAGAAGAUGAAGAAAAGCAAGUGAAGGAAGACAGUGUCAGAGAUAGGAAGAAGCAAAAGAAAGUGAUCAAAGAAGAAGAAGCAACUGCGGCUGAGCCUAGCGGUGAUGAGGAGGAGGCUCCUCAGGAGGACGCCAAGCCAAUUGGCGAUGUAAUUAGGGCUUCGGGAAAAGGAAGAGGGAGGAGGAAUCACUAUGAGGCCUUCGAAUAUGAUGGAAUGCGAUAUGAUUUGGUAAAUAUUAAUUCGAAAUUCUCGUUAAUUGGAUUCAUUUCUUGGGUAAUACUUAUGCUCAUAAGUAAGCAUUUCAAACAAUAUCAUUGCUGAAUUGUAUGCAACUUUGUUGAAUACUUUUAGAAAUUAGUUGUAAUUGUAAGCUUCGACCCAUUAAUUAGAAGUUGAGGCUAAAAAAGGGUUAUUUUGUGCAGAACAAGAACUAGAGUUCAUACAAGCCAUGUUAAAUGAAACUAAUAAGCACGAAAAAUACAAAGUAAGGUUCCUGCUACGGUUAUGCCUGUAUAUUCGUGGUACAUGUGAAGGGUUAGAGAGGGAGAAAGAGCCUAUCUUAUGCUCUUUUUUUUUUUUUGGUUCCCUACAAAUGAUGUGAGAAUUCUCUUACUCUAGAUUUCAAAUAACUUCAGGAGGAAUUAGUUGAAAUCUGUUGCUAUAUAGCUGAAACUCAUGUAGGGUGGAUUUAAAGUCCUUUAUGCCCGGUUCAUCCACCCAAUGAAAAUUUUCCGGGUCAAGCUGUUAUAUGUAUCUUUGGAGCUUUGAAUCAGGGACUCAGAGUCCUGUGUGUAUUGGACGAAGGGGAACCUGCAAAUGUAGUAUUAGGAGGAUCUUUUGAUAGGUAAAAUCUGACCAUGAGAGGAGACAAGGAAGACUAUGUAUGGGGCAUGAAAUUCUAGGCUUUCUGUUUCUACCAUUUUAAUUGAAAGUAAAUCUUUUAUAGUGCAAAUGAUCCUUAGCUGGCAUGGUGUAACGAAUGUCAAUUAUGGCAACCUUUUUCUAAGUGGUCAUUUGAGCAUCACAUGAGCAUCUUGUUGUAGAUACUGCUGUUUGCAUGUGCCCAUUUGGUGGCUGUGAAAUCAUUUGGAACUCGUUUGAUGCUUCUGUUGUUGCUUUUACUUUACCACACUUGAUUGAUGACCACAAUAAUAUUUACCUUCCUAGAACUCCUUUUUCUUGAUAAAGGUUGUGAAUUCUAUACUGAUUUGGUGUGGGAGGCAAAACAAUUGGAUAUAUUAUCCAUAUGAAAGUUUAUACAUCUUAAAAUGCUGAAAGCAUCUGUUAGUCAAGCCUACUUAUUUUAGUAGACUUUGGGCAUGUACCAGGUUUCUGGCUCCUACUGAGCUAAAAGUUAUUUUGAGUUUAUCUUAAAUGCACAUGGCUUUUGCUAUGCGCUUAAUGUAAGCUGAAGAAGCUGGACUGGAAAUACGGCCCCUGAGGUGGUUGCAGAAACACUUGUUGGCUUCUUUGGAACUUUUAAACCAAAAGCAUGUUUUCAACCGUUAAAAAGCUUAUUUGAUGAAUACUUUCUUUAAAAAGCUUUAAAAAGCUGAAGAAUUUCGGAUGAGGCUCUGUUUUUGAUGUAAAAAGCUUAUUUGAUGAAUACUUUGUCAAUAAGCUGAAGUCUAAAAGAUUCAUUAGAAUUUACAGCUUUUAGGAAAAUAUCUGAAUAUGUAUGAAGAUUUUUUGCUAUGCUCUUCCUGAUAAUGAAGAAGAAGAGAGAGAAGCGAAGUGGACAAAAAUGUAUAUUGCAAGAAAUUAUUAACAUGUAUCACAUCUGAUCUAUUUCUGUUUUGUAUCCAAACAUAUUCCUGUGUUGAGAUGCAAGCAAUCAAUUACAGUAAAAUAAAAUUUUAUAAAAAGUAGUCAUAUGAAGAAUGUUUGAGAUCUUGAUCAGGAAUUCUGUGUUUCAUUACAUGAUGGUCAAUAUAUCUGCCCCUUUUAGAAGCAAUUACUAGUAAAAUAGUUUCUGUAGAUAUAUUUCCAUGUCUAACUUGCUUUAGUUUUCUAUCUUUGAUUUUGCGAUAGGAGGAUCCUCUGCUCUUAGUGCCUGAGGAAGCAAAUCAGAAGCCUUAUGUGGCCAUUAUCAAGGUAUGUGUGAAUUGUCAUAAAUCCUGUUGCACAAGCUGAACAUGAAGACUGAAGAUUAUAUACCCAUUCUAUAUUUUUGAGGAUAUUUCUAUUUUAAACUGCAAGUGUGCAGUAAUGUGAAGAAAUUAUGAAGAAGAAUGAAAGACAUAUAUAACAAGUAUUUUUCAUGGUUUUGCUCGUCCUCUUGCCAUUCUUUCUAUUUCCCAGUGGGGGUUAUAUUCCAGUGGACUUUUUUGUUUAGCUAAUGAGCUGUCUCAUAGGCUUCUUUGGUGGUGGAUCAUUUUGUUGGUCUAUUGGGCUUUGAAACUAUAGAAUUGUUGAAUAGACUCCUUAAUGUACCUUACGACUUCCUGAGUUUUCUGUCCUGCACAUUGCUUCAAUAACGGUUGUCAAAGGCUGAUUGUUGAAAUGGUUUUGCUAUAUUCAAUGCUGUUUUCAGUUUUUUCUUUUUCCCUAAAGAUUAUCUAUAUUGGUUGUCUAGAGCAUUUACCUGGUCCCUUAGUGGCAUACACACUUUAUAGGUGAAAGGCCUAAUGCGUUGUUGUUAGUUGGUUUUUGUGCAAAUGAUUGUAUUAUACUGGAGUACGUUGAUACUGGUUUUUCGGCAUCAGUAGCUUGGCAAAUUUGCAGAGAAUGUUUCCAGUUGUGUAGAAUUGGUAUUUUUUCAGUUGUGGCAAAUUUGCUUCUGUUUUCAGGACAUUUCUCAGACAAGAAAUGGCAGCUUGAUGGUCACUGGGCAAUGGUUUUAUCGCCCUGAAGAGGCAGAAAAGAAAAGUGGUGGUAAUUGGCAAUCCACUGAUACGCGAGAGCUGUUUUAUAGUUUUCACCGGGAUGAGGUCCCAGCAGAAUCUGUCAUGCACAAGUGUGUGGUGCAUUUUAUACCUCUGAACAAGCAGAUUCCCCCACGGAAGCAACAUCCAGGUUUCAUAGUGCAAAGGGUAUACGACACUGAACAAAGAAGGCUUUUCAAGCUUACAGAUAAAGAUUAUGAAGACAACAAACAGGAAGAGAUUGAUCUCCUUGUUCAGAAGACAAUGUCACGCUUGGGAGAUCUUCCUGACAUCGAGCCAGAGGAGGCAGCUACUGAUCAGGAACAUCAGUUGAGAAACAAGAGACUGUUGAGGAAGAAGAGCAUGACUCAGUUGGAUGUUUCCCGAGAGGAUGAAGCAUCUACAAGAUCUGGGCAGUCUUUUAAAGCUGAGACUCCAGGAAGUUGUGCUAGUAAUGCAUCAGAAUAUUACACCAUUCUUUCAAGCUUAAAGGCCCUGACUGGUGAAACACAGUGGGACAAGUGGUUGGAAAGGCUGCUUCAAUCGAUUCAGUUUAUAUGCACUGCCGCUGAUGGGGGGCCGGGUGAUGGAAAGGGGCUACCAGCUCCUGCAAAUCGAAAUGAGGUCAAGAAUCUUAAUGUAAUGGCCAGCUUCUCUUUCAUCAGCUUUUCUAAGAGUAAUUUGACACCUCAUAUCGUGAUGGUUCUUCACUACUACUAUAGUUGAUCUACAAGAAUCUGCAAAUUGGCACUGGAUGAUCUUUUCUAUUAUAUAAUUGUUUAAUUUAAUUUUAUAUGUUUAGAGUGGUUUGCCUUUUCACUGGCCGGACAGCGCUGUUUCUGCUAUAGCUGCUCUUGAAAAGGCUUCUCAUGAAGCUUUAUCCUCAGACUUUCAGAAGUAUAACCAAAAGAUGCGGCAAUUGGCUUUCAAUCUUAAGGUGAACAGUAUCUGUAUCUGUCAUGUGUUUGAUGAUUUAUUUUAUUCUUUAAGGUCUGUUUUCGUGAGAUGGGAUGAAAAUUGGAUUGUGGGUGAACUUAAUAUCCUGAAGUUUCAUGUUUCAGUGUUGUGAUGAUGAUGUCUUUCCUUUUCUAAAUAAAAGAUAAGGAAACCAUUCUUUGUGGUCUUUUGAUUCCUGAAGCUAUCAUUCUUCCCAUCUUCUGAUUCUCUUGGGGGCUUUUUCUUCAAUUCUGAACCAUUUGCAGAACAAUGCAGUUUUAGCAGGAUGACUUCUGAAGGGAGAGUUGGAGCCUUCACAAAUAUUGAGCAUGACACCUAAUGAGUUAAAGGUAUAGCUGUUACUUUUUUUCAUGAUCUAUAAUUUCCGGAUGAUUCUCCUUUAAUCGUUCAUUCUAUUGGAUGAAUAAAUUGUUCUCUUCAGUGAUUCCUGUGUCGGCAAUCUUCGUAUUACACUUAGAUUCAUUCUAUAUUCUUGUACACGAAUAUGCAUCAUUUUUUAUUCGUAUAAUACAAUGCAUAAAUGGUGCAUGGUCCAGUUGUAUCCAUGACAUUAUGUACAGCUGGUCUAGUUUUCCUAACAUGGCUUUUUACUCCUGAUUUUGUAAUACUAGAUAAUUGCUAUCAGCAAUAUUUUUACCUUGUUAGCCUUUUCUUUUAUGCUUCAGGAGGGUUUGACAGCAGAGGAGAUAGCGAGUAGGAAGCCUGAGGAGUCAGAACACAGGCAGGUAAUCAUCUCGAUUUGUGGAUUUUCUGGAGAUUAACUCUUUAGUUUUGGAAGGAUAACUAAUAAAAACUUGCAUUGUGUAGAGAUAACUUUUUGAAAACUUGUUUUCAGUCACAUAGAGCCAGCAAUUUUCUCUUAUUUCGUGGAAUAUCAUCUGGAAUUUUGUCUAUAUGCCUGUAAAAAUUUCAGCCGUCUACCUUGGAACGAUGGAGUUUAUUAUUAUUAUUUGGCUGGAGCCAUGGAGAUUUAAAUGGACUAUAUGGGAAUUAGUUCUGGCUAUAGUUGUAUCCAUGAGAUUGACCUGACAAUACAGUAGUAGGUUUUCAUGGCUCCAUCGUGUUAGAAUUGUUAUUAUCUUUUUAAAAACGUUUCUGCGAUAUUUCUGGUGAGGAUAUUACUUUCUCUUUUUUUAGGCUAAAGGAUGUACAAGUGUUGUUAACGCUGUGAUUUGGCUUAUGAUACAGAUGACAGAUGCUCGCUGCAAAAGGUGCAUGGAGAAGAAAGUGGUUCUUAUAGAUAUAAUUCAGACUGGCCAUGGAGAUCGUUAUCAGGUUUGCACUCAUACGCAUUGAACUUGUUUCUCGAUUACCUUGCCUUGUAUGAAUGCAAGCAUAUUAUCUGCCAUAGUUCAUGUUAUUUUUUACUUAAUCCAGAUGCAAGAUAUACUUUAUCUUUCACUCUCUUUAGCUUGCUCACUCCUGGAUGUCCACUUGUUAAGUUGUACCAAUGUGCUAAUAUCUAUUUCUUCUUCUUUUUUUUCAAUCCCAAUUUCUCAUAAUUUUUCUGGGGUUUUUUUUGUUUUGUUGGUUUUAUCUUUUUCCCUUUUUCUUUUUGCCUCUUCUCUCUUUUGGUUAAUGGGAAAUUUUUUUUUUUUUUUGGGGGCUGAUCUUAAAGAGUAUGGUUGGCUGAUGUUUGUGUUACUUGAUGUUGAUGCUUAGAGUUAGAGGCGUUUAUUUUCCACAACAUACUGAGAAAUUGAGAAGUGUAUGGUUUCUUGCAGCAAUGAGAGUAAGUUUUUCGAUACUGCGCUUCAUCCCUAGGUUAUGUAGAAAGGAGUCAGUUUUGAGGAUGAGCCUGCUGUCAACUUAUACAUCGUACCCCACUUGUUUUUUUUUUUUUUUUGGGGUUUUCCCUUUUCUGGGCGGUGUGGAGUUUCCAUUGACUUCAUAUUUUCCCCCAUCCGGUCUUGGUGAAAUUUUCAGCUGGAGUGCAAUGCUUGUGGCAACAACUGGUAUGCUUCAAGUGAUGAAGUAUCUACGUUGACGAUAGAUGAGCCAAGUUCUGCGAGGACUGUUGGAACCGUACCUUUGGCGACUGCCAAGUUCGAAGAUGUGGAAAAGAAGUUGGUUAGUCCUCGUAGACAUGACAAGUCAGCAGAUGAUGGGUUUAAGAAGACGAGUGAAGCUUUUGUGGCCGUGCUGGACAGCCAGAAAUAGUCAUGGAAGCCUGCCUAAAAGUAUAUAUAAAUUAUUACUGUAUGAUACUACUAAAUACUAAUGGUGGCAUGGUGCUACGAGUCAUGUUCUCUCGAAUUUUUAGGGAUUUUACUUGUCUAUGGCGUUAGAGACUAGUUUGGAUGGGUAAUCAUGCCUAGGUGUAGUGUAUAGACAUAGCAAAUGUAAAACGCGGGAACCUUUGCAUGGUGGAGCUUUAGGCUUUUAUAGGAGGAUGUUUGUCUAGUGAGUAAAUCCAUAGGUGAGAGCUUUGGUUAUUGUUUAUGGAAGAAGUUUGGUUUACAAAGUGGGCAGCGUGUUUUUAUCUAUGCUACUUUUCCCCUUUUGUUGUCUGUUUGUUGUUUUUCUGUUGUCUGCGAGCAAAAUAACCUACGAACGUGUUUAGAAGUGGCAAGCAAGGAAAUGGCAAAAAAUGAUCAUUAAACAAUUCAACGUUUCUUGUUUUAAUCAGUAGACUAGCAAAAACGAUCAUUCAACUAAAUAAAACAACAUAUAUUUUGUAUACUUUUACAUUUUAUUAAUUGAAUGAAUGACCAAGACAAGAAUGAACUUCUUAGUUUAGCGACCAAAGUAUCGAAUCCGAAGUACUUCAACGACCAUUCUUUUGUAGUUUGCUCUACUAGUACUCAAUAUGGAUGGAGGCCCGAGAAAAGUCAGACUGGAAGAAACUGGAAUAAAGAAAUCGGCUUUAUCUAGAACAUGAUCACUACUUUUCUUCACCUGCCAUAUGACAUAUACGUAUCUGCACGAAGACUGAGAAUAGUUUGUCCAGCAUAUUUCGUCGCUAUCCAACACCAUUCCUCUUCAGCAACCUAGAAGCAGUAGUAUAUUUUUUGUUGGCACAUGUCCCUGUUGCAUAUAUUUUUGUUGUCCACAUCUAAUCAAUUUACGUUGUCUAUUGCUAUCACGUACUUGGCAGCUAUGACGAAUAUCCCAUCGGGACAGGUUUGACUCUCUGGUCCUGGAAGAUGAGCUAUGAGCUAUGAAUCUAGAUGGUCAAUCUUCCCCUGCUAAAUAAACAUCUCUCCUCCAUAUUAAACUAAACCCUUUUCUUUUCCGCUAAAAUUAAAAAAAAAAAAGAAAGAAAAUUGCUUUCUACCAAUUUGUAUUCAUAAGAACUCGAAUUCAUUCAUACUUGCUCAUCUUACCAUAAAAACGAAUGGAAUACAUAGAAUAUAUAGACUCGUGGAACUCAGAUUUCUUUUGGAUUCAUUGUGGCAAAAUGUUUCGUUCGUGAUUCUUCCAUAUGUGCAAUUAGCAAUUGCUCAUUGAACAGAUUGAGAUAACCUUGGAUAAACAGAGAAAUGCUCAAAUAUAGUUGUGGCAUCCCUCAAUUACCUAUGUAACAACCACCAGGCAAAACAAAAGGGAAAAAUAAAAAAUAAAAAUAGACACAAAAGAAAAAGAACUAAAAAAAAAAAAGAAAAAGAAAAAACCAACAACAACAACAACACUGGUCAUGAUGGAUCUCUCAGAAGAUGAAGAAGUUUUUUUUCUUCUUGUAAUUAUUGCAUGAAAUUCUUACAUAGAGACUAGGUUGUGUAACAUGAAGAUUUUGAUCGAAAGAAACUUUGUGCUUUGAUCGUGAUUGCACAGACAUGAACGGUUCUGUUCUUCAACGUGUCAAAAAACAAAUACAAUAUCUAUCUAUACAAGAAAAAGAAAAGAAAAGAAAAGAAAUCGAUAUCUGCAGCUGUGAUCAAAAUUCACUUGUGAGAUAAUCCAAAUCCAUUAGCAAGUGCAUGAACUGCAGGAUUGAAUGCAAGUCUUCCCAAAAUCCCCUGCUUGUAAGGCAAGAAGGUCUUCUUCUUCAGAUCUUCGGAAACUGCUUUGUUAACAGUAUAAUGCAAUUCGUGAGCAGAAACAGGACUCCUCCUCCUUGAUGGAACCAACCCAGAAGGGCUAUCAAUACUCCUCAUGCUCGAAGUCCUCACAUCUUCACGUCUCCUGACUGCAGCUGUAUAUUUUUUCAGAGGAUCUUUGUCGGCUGCUCUGCCUUCUGAUGCGCUUCGGAAUAAGAAAAAGUCUUUGAAUUUCCAUCUCUUGUACCCUUUUGAAAAUGAAGCCAAAGCUGAAGAGGCAAAGUUAGAUGCACUUUUGGCAAUGAUUGAUGACUCGCUUCUAUUCUGCUGCUGGCUGCUCUGCUCUUCUUGUUCCCAAGGAUACCGAGAAACCCUUAAAGGAGAGAGCGAUCUUGUUCCUCUUCGGCUCGAUGAUUUCAUCCCUGCAGGAGCUCUUUCCCUUCCUCUAUCGGCCCUCGGCGAUCUUUGACCCGUUGUUUUGGGUGAAUGACUAAAAGGGGUGGAGGAUUCUCUCUUGUACCUCGGCGAGAACCCCAACACAAUCUUCUUGCGCUGUGAUGCCGAUGCUGGCGAUGUUGGGGAUAGAUUAAUUGAGCUUGAGCCACUGAUUCUUGCUGCAGAAGGAAGUUGUAGUCCAGGCGGAGGCUUGAAAGGCUUAAUUACUCCGCCAUCAAACAGUUCUUCAGCUGACAGAGAUGCUGUUUCCAAAUCAUCAAGACCAACAUGAAAAGCAAAAUCAUCAUCAUGUUUUGUGGCGGCGGCCUUGGGUGAUUUUGGGGUACCAGGCUUUUCUUCCCAGUCAAAAGGCACGGCCGCUUCUGAAUAAGAGCCUUCUCCAUUGCUGAUAUUCUCGUUGAUCCUCAGGAAUUCAUCAAACUCCCGGUAAAACUGGGAGAGCCGAGAUGGGCUGGCAGGAGCACUGCAGUAGACAUCUCCAAAAGCCUUUGGGGUACGAGGACUGCUGGAAUGAUGCAUUGGAGAAGAACGAGCACUAUUGAAAUCAAAAUCCAUGUUUUGAUGAAUUGGCACCACAAUUUCCAUCUUCUCCACAAACUUCGCCGACACUUUCGGCUGUUUAGGAGUCUGCUGUGGAAAAUAGCAAAGCAAAAGUACUAGCAGAGGCAGAUGCCUAACAACUCCUUUGGUUCAGCUAUAAGAAGGAAGUUGCAGCUUACAAGUAGUAUUGGAAUAGUAGUGGUAGCAGGAAAGAAGAGAGAAAGAGCAGCCAGAUAUUAUUGACUCGAAGAGGUGUAAGAGGAGGAAGAAGAAGAAGAAGCCGCCGCCAUUUAUUACUUUUGUGGUCGGAUGAUUCCUUGUCACCUUCUCCUAUUUAUCGACUUCGAUGCUCAGCUCCAAGUGUUUUAAUUUUGCGCGACAAGCAUUAAUGGCCCCGCAAAGUACAAAUUUUCCUUCAAGUAUAAGGAUAAUGGUUGUUAAAAAAUAUAUUACCAAAGCCACGACAUGCGUAAUGAAUUAAUUUCAUAAAGCGUUAAUUUUCAUCCUGAUAUCACUUGAUACAAUACACCCAAAAAUCAAACUUACCGCCCCCUAUCAAUAUGAUGUGUUUAGAUGUCCCGAGACAUUGAAACUACAAAGUUACCUCCAAUAUCUUCCUACUUUUUUUAGGUAGCAAAAGGUUGGGAAAAUAUUUAAAAAAUACAAGCUAAAAUAUCUAAAAACAAAUAAUAAGAAUGCCAUCUAAAAUAUUUUUCUCCUUCUUUAAUCUUUGCUUGUAUUUUUAAUGUUCGUCGUUGCCAUAACCGGUCUCAUAAAAUUUUCAUUCUAAUUUCCCUCUUCGUGGCAAAACUUUCGUGUUUCUUUGCUCUUAAUUUCCUCCUUGUUUGUUGUGACCAAUCUCUUGAAACUUUUGCCUUUUUAUAAUGUUUAAUUUCGUCCUUGUUCCUAUUUAUUGCAGUUACACCUUCUUAUAUUAUAAAUUUAAUAUUCCACCUUAUUGGUCUUUUUUUCAUAUUUCAAAAUUCACAAAUCAAAUUGCAUGAGGAUAAAAGUGGAAGGAUAACAUAAUCUCUCUCCUCCAAUGCUUUUUUUUUUUUUUCAAUAUUACUUUUAUACGUAAGGGGUGACAAUGUUACACAAAUUAUCAUUCAAGGGGAGCCAUAUGAAAUUUCUGAAACUUUAAGGGUGCUAGGUGAUAUUAUGAUAAAUCUCAGGGAGGUUCCUGAUAUUAACGCUUUCAUAGAUGGGAGUAGUUUUCUUAUUACGGAAUAACCUUUGAAUCAAUGGGGCAUGCAUGUCCCUCGAGGACCAAUGCUUGAUGUCACGUUUGCCUGGCCUCUACCCCCAAAGAUGAAAGUCCUGAAAUUAUAAAAUUAAGGAGGCAAUUUCACACGAUCAACAAAACGGGUUAAUGUCCCUAUUAGUUCGUCAGGUUGGAUUUUUGGAAACGAUUCUCUUCAUUUUUAAUCUUGUACUUGCCCAAUUUCAAUACUAUAGUUUUGCCUGAACCAAAUUAUCUCAUUAACAAAUAAAAUUUGCGGAAGAAAUCUCGGACUAGAUUGAUUGAAAUGGUAUCAUAUUUUAUAAAUUUUCAAACUCUUUUUAUUCUUUUUCGCUUUGAAUCAGUGCUUGUAUUUUCUUCUGGGGCACUCAAGAUAAUAGUUGACAAUUGAAUAGUAAAUUCCUCUGGAUAACAAUAUUGAUUUUUUUUUUUUUUUGUAGCUGUAAUCAACCCAUUUAAAUGGAAUUGAUGAUGGGGAACUUCACCGUUGACAUUGCUAUUAUAUUUGGCUUGAGUAAACGGCAUGAAAAAUUGAAGAGAACGUAGAAUAAGAAGAUGACCCCAAUUGAUAGGUAAAAUAUUUGUAUAAAAUCUGACACUCCAGUUUCUAGAUGCAGCCAGGGAUCAAUUACUUGGACAAAAUUGACAGCAAAAGGCCAGAAAGGAGAUUGAGUCGCCUAAAACGUGGGAUAUUAAUUAGGCAUUAGUUGGAAUAAGAGGACCUUCAAACAGUGCUGUUUUACUCGAAUGACAAACUUGUGUUUUAUGCAUGCCACGAAUGCAUUUGCUCCCUGAGUUAAUAAAGUGUAAAAAGCAACUUCCUAUUUUCAAUGAUACGACUUUCACUCCUCUUUUUCCUUCUUUCUUUUGACAAAUAGUGAUUCAAAAGCGAACCGGUGGCGGUAUUAUUGACAAAAUGGAGUGCUAGCCCUGCCACAGACUACCAUGUGAGAUUGAAGGAACAUAUUAAUAAUGCUCCAAGUUUAUACUUUACAUGAUCUAAUUUUGAAAAGAAACCCACAGUUAGAGCUGUUAAUCGAAUCGAGUAGCUCGCGAGCCGAACUCGACCCGGUUCGAUAAGGGCUCGACUCGGCUCGUUUAUUGAGAGAAACGAGCCGAGCUCGAGUUCAACUUGAUGCUCGUUUAAUAGACGAGCCGAGCUAUGCUCGACUCGUUUAAGCUCGAUAGGCUCGAAUAGUAGGGGUAUUAGCGUAAUUUCAUUGUGUAUUUGAUACUCUACAGGCUCGAUAGACUCGACAGGCUCGAGUUCGAACUCGAAACUACUAUAAAUAGUAGGAGUAUUAGCGUCAUUUUUAUUGCGUAUUUGAUACUCGACAGGCUCAAGUUCGAGCUCGAUAAGCUCGACUCGAUUUUGAACUCGAGUUUGAGUUCGAGCUCGAGUUUUCUAUCGAUCACAUCGAGUCGAUCUCGAAUAGUUUGUGAAACUCUAAUUACUAAUCGAGCGAGCUCGAGCUGGCUCGAUUAGGGGUUCGAGUCGAGCUCGAUUAUCACGUGCUCGAGCUCGGCUCGGCUCGUUAACAGCUAUACCCACAGUGUGAGUUAAUUGUUAUGAAUCCAUUUCAUUUACAUAUGUUAUGAAACAUAAUCAUUCAAUCAUAAAUCUAUUCAUUUCUCUUUUUGAUAAAACAUAAGUCAAUAGUAUUAAUAAUCUAACUAGAAAUCGUCCAUCACGAUUUGCUCGGCAAAGUAAUCCGCACCAAUGACAGAAAAUACAUUGAACAUGUCACAGAUAUAUUUGAUUUAAAAAAUUACAAGAUUUAAUAGAGUUACAAAACAUAAAAAAAUUACACAGUGAUCGCAAAUCAUCGAAUCUGACCAAUUGAACGAACUGCCCAUAGAUGUCUGUGCAUGUCUAUUCUCUUACACCUACUAUCCAACUCGCCAUAAAUCUAUUCAUACUUGUUAUAAAUUGUAGACUCCAGUCAAAAAAAUACCGCUAUUUACAUUGUUUUCGAGACAUCUCGCGCGCAUUUUCCAUCUAUCUCUUCAUCUAGAAAUACACAUCCAUCCAAGAAGGCGUUAUUGUGACAUCUUUUGCAUGCAUCUAAUGUAUGGUCCACGAGCAAAGUCUUGCAUUGUUCGUCUACAGUGGCUCCAUCUGGCAGCGCAGUAGAUGAAGCAAUAACUUCCGAAAUAGACUCAGCUUUCGGCGCAGCUUUUGGACAGAUGCGUUGCAGUCCCAGAACGCAAACCGUUCUCUUCUUUCACAUAUGGCGGUGGUUGCUGCCUGGUUAGGCUUAGCUAAAUUGAAGGAAGUUGCACGAUCUCGUUUCUUUUUUUUUUUCCUUAGUGCACCCUUAGCCAUGAAAAUGAAAUCAAAUUAAACAGGUAGAUGCCCUAAACUAUUGAUGCCUACAGUUGAAAUAUAGAAUUACCCGUCAGGCUAACUUUGUAUUUUCUCUAGAGAGAAGAGUACAAGAUUUUCUCAUAGACUACUGGUCGAUAUUGGUAAUAUAUACUUUAAAUUCAGCGGAAUUUAAUACUAGUAAUAUAUUUCCAAUUAUUUGUCUAUAUUGGUCGGGUUCAUAUAAGGUUUUAUAUAUUUAAUCAUCAAAUUGCAGCUCUUUUUUUUUUUCUUUUUUUGAGAAUUUAUUACUUUGACAAGAAGAUGAUUCUGUAAUAGGGUUGAUCGUUCUUGCCAAGGUUAAGAUUCCAAAGUUUUCUGUCUAUUCUUCAGCUGGUGCAAUAAUCGGCUCAACGGCGUAGCUUAGCUGAAGAAAAUUUGCUUGAACACCUUCCAAUAUUUUCCAGAAAGUGUUAGUUACCAAUUUGUAGGUGAUGAUUUCGAAAGCAACCGACAACUACCAUUUUCCUUCACGUACAAGACAGGGUCCUAUGAUCCACGUACAGCAAAUACGAUAGCAUGCAGUGGAAUCUGGGACGAAAAACUUGCUGCUAAUGCAUAUGGUUGUAUAGCCGGCAAUUUUUCAUCAAAAUAAGAGUUGUGUCAUUUUCGUUGUCCAUGAUAAUAUGUCCUUAGCAUUGGUUGGUGGCCUACUCAACGGUUAUUCAUCCGGGGUACUUCAUCGUUUGCGUUGUCUCAAGUGAACCGCCAUGUUCUAAUUUGGCAGCUACUAUUUACCGGGAAGGAGAAGACAGUUCGUUAGAAAAAGAAGAAGAAGAAAAAACCCGUCUAGCUUAAUAUCAACCUAUGGCAAGAAAAUUGCGCAAUUCACUAUCCAAUUUCGAUUUUGCCAAGCGUUAAUCGUGCAGAAUUCUUUCUAACAAAUUAGAUGAUGACGAUGGUAAUGGAGAUCGGCUAUUAAAAGAAAAAGAAGAAAAAUAGUAAAAGAUUUUCCUAAAUUCUUAGAAGAUAAGCUUCAAAAAAAAAUAGGCAAUAUCUUGAGUUUGCAAUAAGGUUACAAACGAGCUGAAUCGAAUUGAAUUUUAACCUAAUUCAGUCGACUUAAUUUCACUAAACUCGAGCACAAGUUCAAACUCAACGAACUCUCAAUGUAAAACUUGGGUUCGAGUUGAGUCGAACUCGAGUUCGAGUUUAAAAAAUAAAAAAUUAUUAUUUUAUUUUUUAAAAAAAUGGAUAAAUAGUAAUUUUACUUAACAAAUUAUAAAAUAUUAUAAAUUUAUAUGUAAUUUCACUAUUAAAAUAAAAGCUAAUAUAUAUACAUAUAUAAUCGAACCGAUUCACGAGUUAACGAGUUAAGUAUCUUUAAAUUCAAGUUCGACCUUAAACUUUGAUUUAAUCAGCUCGAACUCGACUCGAGUUGAUCGAACUCGAGUUGAGUUUUGACUCAAACUGCUCGCGAUUGGCUCGACUCGUAUGUAGCCUAGUUUGCAGUUAGCCAGCAGCAAUAAAGUGAAUAUUUUAUGUUUGACUACAAGAGACAAAAUGGAGCCAUCACGUUUAGCUUUUAUAUUUGCCACUGAUUCAUUCUUAUCUCUCUUCCAGUUUGAUUAUAUUCUUCCCAAAAGGGGUGUGAACAACCAAAAUUCAUAAUAAAAACUAUUGGUAUUGUCUUUUUACAUAGGGAUCUCAAGGUAGCGAGCGACUUGUAAUCCUCGUGCCAUCCAUUUUGUUUCUUUUUAUUUAUUUAUUUAUUUAAUUGGUUGGAACCUCAGACAGCGAAUUAAACUAAUUGUAUUUGAUUAGUUCCAACGGGUAAUCUUAGGGAGACUGCUGCGUUGUGGGCUUGUGGCACACGGGAGACGACCGUCUAGAAGGACAUGUUGAUGACUGCAGAUUUCUGAAUAUUCUUGGAUGAACUUAUUCACCAGAAACGUAGUUCUAAAGCUGCUAACAACACUCCUACUGGGGAGUACUAUGUUGGGAGUUUUUGGUAGAGACUAGGAAAAUUCUGUCCAAUUUACGUGCUACUUACGACUAAGCAUUGUUAAUACUAUGUAUCAACUUAGCAGAAGCCUAAAUUGGACAGAGCUUUGGCGGAUUAAACAUGGAAUGGUAGUGGCAAUUAAAAUUGUUAAUCAAAAUUAAGAUGAAUGCUUUGCAACUCUUGCUUAGCAUCAACGAAACACCGUGUUCUUACGACAUAAAUUCCAUUACCAGCAUUUUUUUUUCCCCUUAAAGAAAGAAUUGAAUGAGCCUUGCGAAAAAGAGACGAUAUAAGAGUAAUAAAGUAUGUCAUGAUCACCUGAUUAAUAUUCUGACAAGUUGAAAAGCAUCAUGGAUUGGAGACAACACCAGCUCAUUCCAAAUUUCUGCGAAAGAGUAACCACACCCUUAAAAUAUCUGAUUCGUCUGCAAGAAGAAUCAGUAAAACAAGAAGAAGAAUUUUAAGCUUCAAUUUCCUCGAGGAUGAUAUUCCUUUUGCAGAAAGUGCUUCGUGACAACAAACGAACUGUACUGCAUCAUCAUCACUGUGAUCUUCUGGGUCGGUGCCAUUUCCCCUUUCAUGCAAGUUCAAUUUGUAGUCUAGCGCACGAUGAUGGUAUGGGAUUUUCUUUUGAAACCGGAAAUUUAUCCAUUUGGUUGAUGCUGAUACGUCCUGACAUUUUUUAUGACAGUGACACAAAAAUAGUUGUUGCAUGUAGCUUGGAACCGUUCUGGAACGUUGAUGGCCAAGAUUUGACUCCAAAAAAAAAAAUGUAAGAUUCAGAUUUCAUCUUGCACAUAAUUUUUUACACUAUGUGUGGAAUCCACAAAAUUUUAUUCUAUAGUUAUACGCUGUGUAAAAUGAGUUACAUCGUGUGUAAAUUAAAUUAAAUCUUGUGCAAAAUGCACAAAAUCGCUUCGGACGAUUUUUCUGUUAACUGUUCCUGCCCUCGUCCAGCUGGCUUGGUCUCGAAAAAGCAUUCUCGUCUUCUCAUACUAACUUCUUGCAUCAGGUUUAGCAGUAAGGGACUGAUAUUGGUACGUACCCUUGGAGAUUGUUUCUUUAAAGAGCAAGCUACAAAAAUUACAAAUCGAAAGAGAGCAAAAAGGAAUAGAAUUCAGAGUUCUAAAGUCUUUGCGUAUUCUAAACUUCAAAUUCAAAAGAAAUACCUAAGGAAAGGCAGGUUCGUUGUAGCACAGCACUUGUCGGACCACGAAUUGAUUUUGAUCAAAUACUUUUUAAGUCUAAAACAAAGAGAACGAAACAUAAACUUUUUAAGUGUGUUGCAGAGAAAGUUGUAACUGCAUCAUGGCACAAGGAACUGGUUGAUUUCUCAUAUUUCUUAACCUUUCUUUUUCGGAAAAGAUUAUAGUGAGGGUUGGACUUUUUAAUGUUACCCAGUUUCAUUGAUUUUUUUUUUUUUUUUUUUUUUUUUGAGACUGCACCAACAGAAUGCCAUAAUACUAUGAUGAAUGCAAACGACUCGUGGGCCGUCUCUCCGUGGUUUCAGAUUUUCAAAGCCCAUUUUCUUUGGGCUCUAAAGUUGAUCUGCUUUCUCGUGGCGGUCACCAAGUCAUUGCGAAGAUCCAGUUAGUUGCAAUGCUUUGCGCGACGAAAAUCUUCAGUGGGCUACACCCAAAUGUGCAGGCUGGCCGCUCCUGAAAUGAAUCUACACGUGACUUGACUUGCCCCUCCAAAAGCUUGAAGCCUAGUUUCCCCAAAAUAAAAGAACAACUUACUAAUUUUUUGGUUGAAGACCAAGGGACUCGUUAAAAUAGAUUUUGCUUCUUUUCUUUUCAAUUUUUUUAGGAAACUUUUUUUUUUAAGCUUUUCUUCAGGAAACUUUUCAUAAAUGAACUGUACUAGUACAGGCAAGGUUACUCCUUUUCUAUUUUAAUUUCUUUUAGUAAGGAAAGAAUAAAACUUAAGAAUAAGUAGAGGAGAGGAGGAUUAAAACUUAGGAUCUAAAUGCUAAGAGGGAAAGCUACUCUAACUAACAUACAACAUGAUUUUUUAGGCUCUGUCAUGCAUUAAUAAGUUUGAGACAUGUCGUUUGGAGGGGUAGGCAAGGCUGAAAAAUAAACUACAUUACUCGAUACUUGAAUUGAGUUCAAUUACAGUUCACUCAAAUUUGAUUCACCAAUCAGUCAAAUGAAACAUGAACGACAUCUCCGUUCCACAAAGUUUCAAGCGUAACUAUUAGCAUGCAUCGUAAAAUUUAUAUGUAAACAAUUCAAAUUACUUGAAAUUAACGCAAAUUCAACUCAGAUAAAAGUUCGUUUAAGUUCCAUUAGAUAAAUAAACAAGUCGAAUUUAAAUAUAAUCCCAAACGCGUCGAAAUAAUAAAAAAAUUUAUUGUGCUCAUUUACAACCUAGGAGCAGAAAAGAAGCCAUCUUGUGCUUCUCUUUUGUCCUUAAAUUUUUGUAAUCUUUGGCAAUAUGGAUGAGGGCGAAAGUGCUAUUCUGCUAGAACUCCUCUUUGUAGAUUGACAUUUGCACAAGGCUGCAUGAUGCUAAAUUUUUGGCCUAGCACCAGCAGUCUCUGUCUCUGUACUGAGCAGCUGUACAUAUUAGGGUGCCAUGGCGUCACAAAAUCGAGGCAAAAGAAAACUUUUAAAGUACCAGACCUCAGAACUCAGAAGCAGGUACGAGAGUAUCACAUGUUCCUCAAAUAAUCCGUCUACGUUAGCCAGUGUUCCACUUCACGGCUGUUUCGUCAAAAGGACAAAAUACACUAUGGAUACGGUUGCAUGAUGGUGUGCAUAUGUCUGUAUAUGUUAAGUGUGGAUGUGAUCCUGUUCCUUCUUCCCUUACUUUGCAAAAAGCAGUUUGAUCUUUGCUUAAAUUUGGACAAAUGAUGACUCGGCCCACAUGAAAAGGACGGUACUAUUAGCACCUCUGUUCCCUGAGCACUUGCAUGAUAAGUUGCUUUUCUUCUAUAUGGGCACAAAUUUUGAUUCUCUUUAGCUGCGUUUCUUCUACUCCUGACCCCCCUCCUGCUGCAUUCCCUGCCUUUCGUUUCUAUCCAGUUCUCUUGCUUGUUUAUUAAUAUUCAGCCAAUUACAAUCCGCUUGAUAUAUUUAGGGUGGGUUCUCGUUUGAUAAGUACACACAAUUUCAGAUUAUUUUGAAAAAUCAGUUUUGUUCUUGUGUUGGUGCUCGCCUUUGUGUUUAGAUUUUAGAAUUUUUUUCGGAUGGACAAAAAAAAAAGUUAAAAUCUAUUAGAAUCUAUCAUGGUUGCAAACGAGCUGAAUCGAGUUUUGACUCAAUAAAACUGGCUUAAUUUCAGCAAGCUUGAACUCGAGUUCGAUCGGCUCAUGAACAGCUCGACUUGUAUGCAGUCCUAGAAUCUAAUCAAUGCUGGAUUAUGCUAAUUCUAAUUAAUUAAACUCUUUUAGCAUAAUCUAAAGAUAAAUGAUACUCCAAGUAUCAGUUAAUUCCGAAUGAAGUAUCACAGAAUUGGAGUGCAUAUUCAUUAGGCCAAUUAGAUCACAAACCUAGGUUGCAUUAAAUUUUUUUUUUGAAAAAAAAAAAAAAAAAGAUGCAUCUACCACCACCACUUAUUCGUGGCAUCUAGAUCUAUCUUUAACGAUAUGAGAGCCUUCCUCCAUUUUGAAAGCUUCCCCGUUACAAGUAAUAACGAAUGAGUCGGGGAAAGAGGUGGUCAGAUUCAUUGCAAAAGAAUGGCCUGUGGAGUUUAGAUUGACAUGUUGGUUUUUAUAUACAUUCUCUACACAUAAAACUAAUUAUUUGACUCUGGAAGAAGAGACAUUUAGGAGACAGGCAGGGCAAAAGAUGCAGAGCAAGGCAGUGUUGAAUCUUGACCAUUCUCUGUAGUCAAAUUGGUUGCAAAACUUAUUAGCUAACUGAAAUCUCCAAUUUGUCGACCAAAGUCGCACGUCACAGCUGGCUUGAGUUGGCUUGUCCAAGGAAUUAAAUAACCGUUGAGAAAGGAUGCUGGUGGCAAUUCUAUCAUAGUCAUCGUCAAUGGAGCUGAAUUUUGUGGAACUUUUCUUGAGUUGAGUCUAAUUUCUGAUGGUUUUUCUGUAUUAAAUGCAAUAAGAAUCUACCAAGGAUGGAACUUUGUGGUUAUGCAUGAACUUGUGCCAUUAGCCACUAGGUGUCUCCCAGCAUAGAUCAUGGAUGCCUUCUCUGAGUGACCCAAGUCUUGAUGAAGAUGAUUUCACACCGCAGAGAUGGUCCACCCACAUAUUCUCCUCUCUUAUUAGCUAGCGGCAUUAACAUGCCUGAGUAAUGGGCUGUCACUGUUCACACCUAAAUUCUUAAAUGAAAAAUCUGUCACUUCGAUUUUCUUCCUUUGCUUAGUAAGUGUCUAUCUGUUGCCAAGGCCAGUGCCACAAAUACUGAGUUUUCUCAAACUCUCAUUCACACUCAAUACUGUGUUUAUAGAAAUUAAACACCGCAUCUUUUCUUGUCUCUAACACCAUAGCAUGUCACAUGUCCUAUAUUUGGACCUUGUGCUUUAGGAGGUGAUUGAGAAAUUAUAUCUAGAAGACUCAUAAAUAAAACUUUGCUCCACAGCAGAAAGCAUCAACCUUCACGUAUAUUCAUGUAGAAUACUAUAAGUAGUUGCGGUUCUUCUACAACGAAAACUAAACAAGAGAAAGGCCUUGGAGAGUUGGUUUGCUUAUCUAAUGCUGGCUGUUUCUUUUGUAUCCUGACUAAAAAUGAAUACUUCAUACAGCCUGAACCCUUUCAACAGAAAAUUUCUUGAGAGUCAAAGUUUACUUACAAGAGUGGAGAAGAUUAUACAUUUCUUGCAUCAUGUAUCUAUAGAUGUAUACACAGACCCAAUGACUAACCAAUGAUAACUAUGUAGAGGAAGGAACUAAACCAAAAUUUAUUCAUGUUUGCAGUAGGUACCUGAAACUGAACUCAUACGGCACAAUUUCAAGAAAUUGUGACAGAGGCUGAUUUCUCUCCCUAUCAAGGCAGCUAAUCGCUUCUUUUCCAAGUUCAAUCGGUAGUUGAAGGCAUAUCCAAUCAACCAGCGAGUCCAAGUCCUUGGCAAAAUCAAGCAUAUACCAAUCCAAUAGUUUUGGAAUUGCCACCACCUUCUUUGUAGUUGAAAUGCCAACUGUGGCCUGCAAGUACUCCUUUUUAGCCACUUCCAGCUCAUUUUCAACCUCAGCUGCUGUGUACAUUCUCACCUUGAUUGAGAAAGCAAACCUCAUCAUUAACAGCAUAGGCAUGCUAAAAACUUAAUAAUGCACUGAUGUAAAAACUAAAAUUCUGCUGAUUGAUAAAACGUUACUUCAAAUCAGCAUUUUCGAGUCUCAAAUCUUAUACACACCUCAGUACACUAGGCAAGAUGUUGGCAAAUGCAAAUUUAAGACAAUUGCAGUCAACAAUACAUAUUGGCAGGAGUCAACAAUAGUUUUCCCAAGUAAUCUACACUUCCAAUUGAGGAUGACUAAAUGAAUUCUGUCUACUCUGUGCACUAACUUACAGCAGGUGAAGACCAGCUACCACAGGAAAGAGCAAAUGUAACCAGUGGUUCUGAUAAUUCCAAUCCAAAAAUGCUACGUGCUGACAUUUCCUCAUUUUUGGCCCCUUUUGCAAAAGUCUGAAAAGACACCACCAUAGCCAGAUAAAACAUAAGCUACUUUAAAUUUUACUUCACAUAAUGCUGGUACUUCUGUCUGAUAAAGACUCAUCUUACAUAUUUUGAAUGAUAUGGCAGUCUGAGUAUGAAAUGCUCAAUAGUUAUCGCAUUGAGAAAAUGACCUCCAACAUUUAUGGUUGCCUGCAUUAUAAGAAGCCAAGUAUCACCAAGAUAUGCAUAGUAUUUCAUCUAUAUAGAAAUAUCAUUUGAGAUUAUGUAUCAAAUUUGUUAUUGAAUAUUGUUGUGAAGGUUAUGAGACAAAAGAGCUUACAUCCAUAUACACUUCUGAUGCAGAUAAUGCAUGUAAGAAAUAACGUUCAGUUUUUGUAGGUCAUUCAAAUCUUUGAACAUGUUAUUCUGGUAACUAAGCUUGUAUAAAUUUUUCUUUCACAUAAUGCAUUAAAUUCCAUUUUCCUUUUGCUUUUCCUCAAGAUCAUUUUCUUCUCCUCCCCCCCCCCCCACCAACUCAUGAUUACUGCAUUCUUUACAUUUUGAGAAGGAAAAAAACUCUUAGAUUACACAAAAAAGGACAAGACAUCUCAAAUAGAAAUACCUUUUGCAUCAAUGCAACUACCAUUUCAGGACUCUCUGGUAUUCCAUGUUCAAGAUAUGCCUGAAUCAAGGUAGUAAAGAACUUACACAUCAAUUACUUAAAUUGAGCACGUGUAAACAUACAGGUGGUAUAGAAAGUUUUAUCUAGUGCGUUUCAUCUAUUUUCCUCUUUUGGGAGUAGGAGAAAUGGUGUUCUGCAUAUAGAACCAUGAUGCAUAUAGGAAAUGAAUGCUGAAAUGAGAUUUAGAUAGAUUCUGCAUUAAUGCAUGUAGAAUCUCACACCUACAUUCAUCAUACAAGAAUUGUAAAUGUUGAUCCAGAAAGCAAGCUUCUCUUGAUGAGUGAGGCCUUUUAAAUCAACUGAUGAUAAUUUCUCAAGUAAAACCCUGAGAACCAAGGGAGACGAGACAUGUAAGAGCACCAGUAAAAGUAUGAAUGAGUAAUAAAGUUUAGAACUGAUUAUGACAGUAACUUACUUUAGUCUAUGAAGUAGGAACACGGAUACUGUGGUUCGGUUUGGAUUGAUAGAGCUUGCCUCUAUAGCAAAUAAAUGUUUAUAUGGACCAAUAUCUCUCUUGCCAAAAUCUGAGCAGAUACCAUAUGGAUCCUUAAAAUCUGCAUCCUCAAAGCCCUCACAAGAACUCAAUGUAGACAGUGAAGGUAAUGAAUCUGCUAUGCUUCCAGUCCUUUUGGAGUUCAUUCUUAAGAAAAUGCUCAAUAAGCAUUUCAAAAUGCUUUCGGAAAUUUUGUUUGGAUUGUCAGUUGCUGAUGAUUUUUCAUCACCAGGAACAGGAGUCCUCCCUUUGCACUCAUGGUCCAUAUCUAACUGAAAAUUUAGAACCUGUGGUCAUUUGAUUGGACAUAUAUCUCAUAGAUUUACAAAGAAAGAAUGAAGUAAGCACCUGUAAUUUCUUGGGUUCUAAGCGCUUGUCUGCUGAUCUGGACUCGAAUGGAGGCCUUUUAACAGGAGUUCUGACAGUUGGUGCUUUGAUACUUGGAGGUUUCUGCUUAUUCUUUGUUGAAUUAGCGCAAAAAUCAUUUUCUUUUCCACGUGCAUCAUCUGAAAAAUCAAACAGAGGCAACAGUUUCUUCUAGUUGUCCUAUCCAUUUUUGACAAGGUAAAUGGGUGAAAGUAGGUAUAGGCAUGAGGUAAAGCCAAAACAACUUGAUCAAAGUAUUACCUGUGAGAAAUGUUAAAUGCCUCCCUCUGGAUACUAUGGAAUUUUCUUCAGCUUGAAUUGACAACUUAGACUGCUUUUGUUUCCAAUCAUUCGUUUGGUACUGGUCACAUACAUCAUGUGAAUUGUCCGUGUUCCUCUUUGACGAUGAGAUGUACACUGCUUCCUGAUACAAUCCUUGCCUGAACUGCACAACUUGCUCUUCAAGCCGAACGACCUCCUCUUCCAAAACAGCAACUUCGGCAAGCAGCUCCAGUGUCUACACAUAUCCAUCUUAGGCAUUCAGGUCACAUUUGAGAUAUUAAAACUCCAUGGAAUUUAUCAAUUUCUUACCAUGACAGGAAUUUUUCAGUAUACAACCAGUUAACAGUAAAGGUAGUCUCACACAGCAGUUGCAUGGUUGCAAUUUCACAAUGAAAUCAAGAGUUUUGUUAUUUAUUCAACUACAUUCUCCCUUCAUGCCUCAACUACAACAUUUAAUUUCACUGUUUGUAAUGCAGUACCUUACUGCAUAUCACAAAUACUUAUCCAGAAAACAGAAAAGACUGUUCCUAUCUCUCCAUAAACAGUAGCUAGUCUGAAAUUCAUCCUCCACAUUGGAAAGGAAAGAGUUUUUUAGAUCAGGCAGAUAAAGAGAAAGAGAGACUAACAUGAGGAGGUAGAUAGGGGGGAAGACGAGGCAAAGCUCCAAGAGGUCUGGUGAAUGCCCUUUCCAAAGCUCUGUGAACAUUUUCUUCUUGUCUGAGUUUUCUCUUCAACUUGUCAACCUAAAAUUCAAAAAUUAGUACCAAAUUGUGAAAGGUUAAAAUGCAGAAUUGAUAAUUAAAAACCUACAUCUUGCUGCAAUGCUUUCUUUCUUUCUCGGAUUGAUACUCGUCUUGUGGUUGCUUUCUGAGCAUUCAUUAUCCUCUUACCAUGUAUUUCCACUUUUUCCUGCAACCAGUAAGAAGAGAAUACAACUGUCAGCUUCCACAAGAAAAGAAUUGGACAUGGCAUAAUAAACAAAAAAGGACACAUACACAUGGGACAAAAGAAAGGCCAGGAAAGAUCAAAAUCAUUGUGGAUUAGAAGCAAAGCAGGAAACUUUUGAAGCUUUAUUGAAAGAGAGGAUCCAAUCCCACCAUCAAUAGGAAACACAAAAAGUGGAGGGGACAGAUUCCAAUAUCCAAAAUUCAAUAUAAACUCAAAACUAAUCAAGAUUAAGCCAAAGAAAUUCUGUUCCUCCUGCAUUUAACCAACUAAGACAGAGAAUUCAUCUGGAAUUCAUAUGAAAGAUGCCUACUUUAUCAAAAUUUCCAGGAAAUUUCUCCAUCUGAAGCCCUCCCAAUUGGACUUAAGGCCCUAAAAUUCUUAUUCUGGAAAAUUGCCAUUUCUGGAAGAUUCAUGUCAACCAAUUGAUAAACAAAUUGGAUAGAAGUUGUAAGGAGAAUGAAUGGCUGUGAUUAGUACAAGCUGAUAAAGGUAAACAUAGACUGUGGUUACUUUUUCUUGCUUUACAGGAGGUGCUCUCAUAGACUGCACAGCAGUCCUGGCUCUGGUAUUCAUCUUUCUUCAAUCCCCAGAGAAAUCAAUGAAACCUGCCAUACAAUAAAAUCCCAUUUCAAUGCAUCCAAAAAAUAUACAAACAGACAAAAAAAAAACGAAAAAAGACAAUUAGAAUAAGAACAAGGUAAAGGGGAGAAGCAAUAAAUGAAGAUAGCAAGCAAAGAGAGAGAUGGAUGAGAAGAAUGAGACCUUCAGAGGAAUGAAUUCAAUUCAUUGCGGCAGCAGCAGAUGAGCAGAAGAAGCAGAAUUCCGAUAUCCCAGAAGCGGGAAACAGGUGUUGAAUAAUCCAAAAUGCAAAACAAAGGUAGCCUAGAAUCCCAAAAGACAAACAACAACAACUGACUAGAGUACUUGGUAUUUCUGUCUCUCUUGGUCUGUUGAAUGUUCAGUUCAUCCCUGCAUUUCUUGAUCUCCGUGAAGUUAACGCAUUAUCUAAUUAUCUAUCGCCACCCCGUUUCAGCUCUCUUCAGCUACUGGACUACUACUAGUAUACUACUAUCUAUCUAUAUCAUCCCUCGAGAAAAAAGUGCAAAUUUCCACUUCUCAAUGUCAGUGAAACUAGUAUGAAAGAGAGAUAAAUAUACUAGUCCAAUUUGUUACUCCCUCCCUCCCUCUCUCUCUCUCUCUCUCUCUCUCUCUCCAUAUAUAUACACGCGCAGAUACAUAUGAAAGAGAGAGAGUGAGAGAGAGAGAGAGGGAAUUUACAACUGUACUUUCUGGCUAACAUUAAAUUAGUAAUUGAAAAUUUUUAUUUAGAAAUAUUAUGGUGCGGGAAAAUGUACAAGUUAAAUUACAAUAGACAUGGUACAAAACAGUUAAAGAUGCUACAAUCCUAUUCUUCAAAAACAAGUUUUUCAAAUAUAAAUUUUUCUAAAGAUGCCUAGUAAUUUAUCUGUGCAAGAUUUUUUUUUCUGAUCAAAAUAUACAGUGCUAAUAAGUUACAACUAGUGCCCCGGAAGAAUGAAUAUCAAUUUGUGGUAAUCCAGGGGGAGGCAAAAAAUGGUUAAAAAUUAGAGGUUUGGUUAAAUAUUAGAACUGCUCAUUGAUUGUUUAAUUGGUUGCAAAUUGCAAUGACAAAAAUAAGAGGUUAGACAUGGAGUCUCCAGUUUUUUGUUUGUUUCCUAUUUGGCGUCUUUCAAGUAAGGACAGAAAAAUUAAUCAUCAGAAGAGAGAAGUUUUUUUUGGGGGGGGGGGGGGGGGGGGGGGGGGAGGUUGGUCUUCAUCAAUGGCAAUUGACUUCUGCAAUGUGCACCCACUAGCCAGCUCUUGGGGUUUCCUAAAAUGAUGAGGCAGUGAAAUGGAUGUAAGGGUUGAGAAAUUUGGCAAUGGGAUUGAUAAAAAGGAAAGUAGGCAGACAAACCAAUUUUCAGUAAUCAUGAGAUAACGUGCGCUUUCUCUUUUACGUAUCUGGCUCUGCUUUAUGGUUUCUAAUCGGGCAUUUGCCUUGUUAUGGUAAUUCCAGGGUCCCUGAAUAAAAUGUGCAUAAAUUCUUGUUUUGAUCUGACACCUAACAAAACGAGCACCAACUAAGAAAUUUCUUUUGAUUUUACUGCAAUUUGAAGAAUAAGGAAAUUCUAGCAGUCAUUUUUGGCUUCAUUCUGAUGGUAAUAUGUUGAAUUCUCUCUAUAGAGAUAUUAGAAAUGAGUUUAUUGAGUUGCUCUAAACAUUAUUAAUUCACGCUUAUAGUAUAUGCUUUUACGGGUUACUGAGUUUAAUACUUUCCCUGUUUUUAUAGUAAUCCACAGAAUCAAUCUUUAAGUUAUUUUAAAGGGUUUUUCUAACGGAUGUUUUUUAAGCACGCGUUAACAUAACAAAUAUUCAUCUAACUCGCUAUAUAUAUAUAUAUAUAUAUAUAUAUAUAUAUAUAUAUAUAUAUGCACAUAAUAAUAAUUAUUAUCUUGUCUUAUAUUUAUAUACUUUCAUUGUUUAAUUGUACCUACCCUCUCUUGUAUUUAUUUACUUUUCUUAAUUAAUUUUAUAUUUUUAAAAAUAUAACACUUGAAAUAUAUCCGUUACGGGUGCCCUAUGGCACCUAUUAGACAAACUAUACUUUAAAAUGUUAGAAUUACAAAGUGAGCCGGGUUUCUUAUUCUCUCUCUCUCUCUCUCUCUCUUAACUAUAAGUAACUUUGAGGUUUCUUUUGCCGAAAAUGAAAACAACCAGACAAACAAGGAAAUUAAUCCUGCUUGGAUUUUUUAGUUUUUUUUGAGUUUUUAUAGAAAAAUAUAUUGUAAGAAUUUAACGUAUAUAAAGUAAAAAAGUAAUUGAAAAUAUGUUUAGGGAAACACGCAAAAUUUGAUUUAUUUUUAUUUUUUUGUAAAAAGCUACAAUCCGAACAAUGAAAGGCAGGAGAAAGAAAUUAAGAAGAGUGGCGUGGGAGUGGCUGAAAUCUGAAUGCAAAAGCUGCCUAAUCACAUGACUGCCAAUUAAUAAAGUGUUCUGCACUUGAAAAAGAAAAUUUAAAGGCUUUUCAGGGCAUCCCGCAAUGUCCUUACAUUACGUUAACUUUAAGUUUUCAGUACCCAUUUUGUUGAAGGCAAUUCAAUAAUUUUUCAGCCAAUUUUUACGGAGUCAGUCACGUGCUGGUCAGGCAAGAAUAUGUAUUUCAAUUUUUAUACUCCAUCUUAUGGAAAAAUAGUUCAAUUAUGAUUUUUUUUUUUUGGUCAUCUAAAGAAUACUAGAAAUCAAUUGAGCCCUCACAACCCUUGUGGAGGUUUGAUUAUCCCACAUCGGGGUUGGGGUUGGGUUUGGGUUAGGUUAUAAGUCCUCAGGAUGUCCUCAAGAGUUGCCGGCUUUUGAGGAUUGUUCUGGGAUUAGAUUUAUGGUUUGACAAAAAAACAACAACAACGUUGAGAGAAGAAACGCCAGCUUAUCACGGGGAGUGAGGGUCCGAAUAGUCACGGGCGAAAAGAUCCGCGCCGAAGGGCAAGCUCCCUUGUGGAGGUUUGAUUAUCCCACAUCGGGGUUGGGGUUGGGUUUGGGUUAGGUUAUAAGUCCUCAGGAUGUCCUCAAGAGUUGCCGGCUUUUGAGGAUUGUUCUGGGAUUAGAUUUAUGGUUUGACAAAAAAAAAAAUUGAGCCCUCACAAAGCAUAAUACAUCAAGGGUUAUGAUUAGAAAUCCAAAAUGCAACGGUCCAAUUCUAGGGUGCACGAUUAUCAUUCAAGAAUGAGGUGGUUGAGCAUAAUAAAGUUGAGCACAAAGCCAGAAAAAUGGCCUAAAUCCCAAAACCAAAAGUUCAUUCCCAAUCACUUUCACGGCCACACGUUGAUUUGACAUCCACUCAUUUCUUUUAAGUACUCUCUCCGUCCCAUUUGAUAGUUCUGAUUCUUUUUUCAUACAAUUUAAUAAAAAGUAGUUAAUUUUAUUUGAACAAUCAAUUUAGAUAACUAUUUUUCUAAAAUACAUUCACAUUAAUUAGAGUACAACUUUAUGGGAACUUGAAUUGAUGGUAAAAAAAGAACCAACUCUCAUUAAAUGGGAUAGGUUUAUAGUAACAACAACUUACAUUGAAUAAGGGUAUUUUAGGAAAAUUAAAAUACAACUACAUUUUUCAAUUAGAAAGUGGACUAUAAUUUGGGAUAGACGAAAAAAAAAACAAGACUUAUCAAAGUGGAACGGAGGGAGUAUCAAAAUUGCCAGAGCAGGUGGUGAUUAAGCGAUCAAACAUGAUCUUCUUAUUUAAAGACAUUUUGUUUGCUUCCUUGAUUUCAUAUCUCUGGUUUAGUUCAAAUUUAUGAGUUUUUUUAUAGAUCAGAUGUAUCAUUUGACUUUGAAAUCUAUAUGGAUCUUUGUCAUAUUUGAUGUAUUUGCUACCAUUAACACAGAUAUCGGAAUGAUAUUAUGAUUUUAUACCCAAAAAAAAAGACAAUACAAUAAGCCAAAAAGUGAUUCGAAUAUUAUUUUUGGCUUAAUUUUUCACAAAGUUUUUUUCUUGUAGAGAUGAACAUAAGUCUUAUUAUAUUUUAUUCCUAUGAUUUAUCCUAGUGAAAGAGGGGAUGAUAAAUACACAUGGAAUUAAAAAUUCAGGGGUGGGAAACCAUGAUGGUGGAGGGUCGAGGGACAGACAGCUGAUGAUAGUUUAGGAUUAUGAAAUAGACGUCCCACUUACAGCCACGUGAGAAUGACUCCUACGACCACAAUUAACACAGUACAAUUUGUAAUUAAGGUUUCGUAACCACAACACUUGAUGUUUCUUUUUUUAAAAAAAAAUAAAAAAAGAUCAUUUCAUUCAAUAAAUCUGUAUUAAUGACAGAAACACGUCAAAUCAAAUAUGACACAUAUACGUACGGAUAUAAAAUCAAUAGAUGCAACAAAUUUGAAAAUUCUUAAUUAGUGAGUUGGGCGUCUAAUGUUCGUUCAUUUAGUAUCUAACAAUGACUCCCACCGGAAAAAAAAAAAAAAAAAAAAACUCAACCCAUCUUAGACAAUUAGACAGUAGAUGAUUACUUGUAAGAAACUAAGAAUUGACAUUACGCACUUGAUUCCAGAUUUUAUUUACAUAGACAGUGACUUCAAACGACUCUUUAGAAGAAAAAAAAAAUCACACUGUCAUUAUUUUAAUAAGAAUCAAAAGAAUUGUUUAAUUUUGUUUUUGUAUGCUUUUGUUUUAAAUCGCUGUUUUAAUUUAUCAUGCAAUGAGCGCUUGCCAGCUAAUAAAUCCGGCAAGAGACAAUUGAAAAGGCAAAGGAUUUAAAAAAUAGGUAGUAGAUCAAAUGUGACGCUUUCGUCUAAUUAUGGGAGAAAAAUAGGUCAAAACAUCAUUAUCACCGUGCACGGUAAGGUUUUGUGAUUUAGGAACACCCAUUAAACUACUGUUAUCAAUAAUGCGCGGAUUAAAUUACUGCAUAGUUGCUUUCUCAUUCAUCAAUCCUUAAUUAUUGUCCUAUCAAGAGCAUAUGAAACCAAGUAGCCAAUAAGUACGGUCUUGUAAAUUGUAAUUAUGGAUGCGUCAAGAAUAAUGCACGGAAAGUAUAUGGAUUAAUCUUCUAUACACUAACAGUGCAUGCACUUUCACCAUUAAAUACAUGACAUAUAAUUUAAAUUUUGCAUAUGUGUCAUGCAUCCAACCAUGACAGUGUAUACACUGUCAGUGUAUAUAAGAUUUAUUCAAACUAUAUAUGGUUUUUCCCAACUUCAUCUUUGUGUUAUACUCUCAAUUUUUUGAUGUCUGAUUUAGAUUGUGAAUUCUGUGCAAGCGAAAAAUGUGAAGAGAAUGUUCACAUUUAGUCUUUUUCUUUUUCAAAAUUUUAGCACAAAUCAAGUUUUUCUUUUUUUUUUUUUCGUUCCUUGAUCAAUAAGCAGUAGUGUAUAAUUUUGUUGAAUAAUAGCUGGAAGAUUCUUUUGUUAUACUUAAAUUGGUUUUUCGCAUACAAAAUUUUUUUUUUUCCUGCGAGUUGGUAAGAGCUUUUGGUUUGCAGUUUAACCAAUUUGAUCAAUUCAAUUUCAGUUUUAAAUUUUAAUCAUUUUUAUUUAUUUUGGUAUUAAAAAUUUAAAUACAAAUGAAAAUUUUUUCCCAAAAGAUAAAGAUUUAGUGAAUUCUAGUUGAACUUUCUGGUUUUACUUGGUCCAAUCAGUUCUUGACCGAGUUUGAUGGAUUUAAUUGAAUUUUUAGAUUAACUAUUAAAAUAGACCACAAUCAGUACUUUCUGGUUUUCAAAACAUUGGUUGUUAGGAUACAUAUUCUUUGAGUUGUUUAAUGACUAAAAUCAUGAAUGAUUUAAUUAAGGCUAACUCCACUUUGCAUUUCCCAAAUUUGUACUACUUUUAACUUUACACCUUAAAUUUCAAUUUCUAAUACUUUACACCCUAAAUUCUCAAUUUUAGAGACUUUACAUUCUAAACUCUCAAACUAAUUCCAUUUAAAUCCAAUCAACAAUAAAAGUAGCAAAAUUAAUAGAACAAAAAAUCACAAAAGUCAAUGACGGUGUCCUUAAAGUGGUCAAAGAUCAAAGGGAACACAACUAAAACAAAAUAAUACAUUGUUGUUUAUUUGAACUGUCUUUUAUCUCAUUAAUUUUGUUAACAAUAUUAGUUAUUACAUGGAACAAACUUUUACCAGUUUGUUCUAGUCAUAAUCCCUUUGAUCUUUUUGAUCAUUCUCAACAUAUUGUCAUUAAUAACCGGAGAAUUUAUAAUAUAAAGUAUCUCAAAUUGAGAGUUUAAUGUGUAAAGCGUCUAAAAUUAAAAAUUAAAGUUUAAGAUGCAAAAUGAAAAAGUUGCACGAGCUGAGAGGUACAAUGUGGAAUUAGUACUCUGUUUAAGUGCAAACCUGACUUGAAGUAGUGGCCGUACAUGGAAAUACUAAGCGUUGUGGCACUAUGCCUUGAGUAAUCGACAUUGAACUUGAAGUACAACUGUAGAAGGAAAAUAAGUGCUAAUGAAUUUGUACAUGCCAAUACUAUACCACCAUGUUCUUACAGCGAUAUAGUACUUCAAUUGUAGCGACCUUCAUUUUCAAUGAUAUCUGUAAAGCCAGCCUCUUUUUUUUUUUCUUCUUUUUUUUAGUACUAUUGGCUAUAAGAGACUUAGCAGCUUAGGACCACUACUAGUAGCACAUAAAACGAAUUGAGAAGGGUCUAAUGUAAUUUCAAGUGUGUUUGGAUAAUAAAUUAUUUGAGAUAAUUCUGUGAAAAAAAUAUUAUAACACUUUUUUGAUGUGAUGUAGGUAGAUGUGGGCAUAAUUAUCCGCUAACCUGAAAACUCGUCAUAUCUGAUCCGAUCUGAUCUGAAAAUUAGGAUAUUCGAUAUUUGAUCGGGUCAAAAGAGGGUCGGGUAUCUGCUAAGAUGCGGGGCGAGUUAGGAUUACAUAAUUAAAAAUUCGCGGAUAUCCGAUCUGCCCCGCAUAUAUAUAUUUUUUAUUUUUAUUUUUAUUUUUAUACACACACUAUAAAAUAAUAAGUUAGAACUAAAUAAGUAAUUUUAUUGAACAAAUUGCAUUACAAAUAUGAGAGACUACAGUUUAUUUACAAGAUUCAUUUGUAAAGGUCAUGAUCUUAUAUUUUAUAGAAAAAAGUUCAAUUAAUGUGGAACAUAUAUAUUAAAAAUUGUGCUACUUAUUUCAAACUUUUAUUGAUUUUGAAUUUUUUUAAUUUUUUUCUUUUAUCUUAUAUUCUCUUCAUAUGCUUGUUUCUUGGUGGGAAACCUUUUUUUAGAAAAAAAAUUAUUAAAUCUUAGAUGAAUGUGUAAAAUAUAAAUUUAAGUUGGUAUAAAUUAUUUUUUUAAAAAAAUUAAAUGAUAAACAGCGCGGGACGGGUAUCCGCUGGUCCGACCCUAUCUUAACGGAUACCCUACAAACGGUAUCCGUUGAUAUUCGGGGCGGGUAAGGGCCAGAAAAUGGCUGACCCGUAAAGUACGGACCGAGUCAGCCAAAUGGUGAAUGGGGCGGGUACUCGACCCGCGCCCACCCUUAGAGGUAGGUAAGAUAAAAGAGUGAUUGAAAAAUGUGUUGAUAAUAUAAGAAAGUCAGUAUUUAAAUACGGUGUAAAUAAUGUGCAUUCCAAAGUAACAGUUGACGUGAAAAACAAAAGUUGCUUAAACUUGUCAUGGUUUAAACAAAUAAAUUUCGGCUAGUAAAUUUUAAGAAUUUUGAGCAAGCGAGAAAUUUGCUAUGCAACCAACCAAAAAAAAACAAUAUAAAAUCCACAUAAGAAAGCUUUUAAUGCUGAGAACUGAACUUAGAGGAAUUGAUGCUUUAUAUUGUAGUAUACUAGUAUCACAAGUUGCCAAUCAAUAUCCAUUCAAUAUAUAACCUUAGUUAAUAGAAAUCUCCAACUCCUACUCGACCUACAUCUGUACUUGACAACGUAGAGAUGAGAAGGCCAUGUUCGUGUAAAAUGGCAAACAUGCAUCAAUGCACAGUGUUCACCGACGCAAAGAAACGGUGGUGUUUCACUUACUUGUGUUCCACCCGACAGAGAUGCUUGUCCUCCUCUCGACACACGAAAUGUCGAUCUCAAGAAAGCCAGCUAAAUUUUCCAAGUCAAUACUCCUUGCUCUCACCACCAAUCUGGGACUCGGGGCAGGGACGGUUGCAGGUGGCAAAUUCCCUCUUCAUCAAUAGCGUGUAACUUCUUUUGUUCACCGUGUAACUUUUUUUUCACAGAUUGUAUUUUCACAACACAUAGUGGUGGGCUCCACACUUGGCGCGAAAAUCGAGUUACCACUUGUUAUCUGAGCCGCACAUUUUUUUAUGGUCCAAUCUGGACCAUGAACCGUGAUGACCGUCCCUGCCCCAAAUCCACCAAUCUGGCUACUAUAGUACUACUUUAUUAUGCUGCUUAAUAGAGCCAGGCUACAGUUUUCAAUUAUUCAAGUUAGAUUGAUUGAUUGAUUGAUAAUAAUGGUUUGCAAUUUGCUUCACUUUGUCCAAAGUCUGCAGAAAUGCAAUCUCAACAGUAACAGGGGGAAUAAAUUAACUCUUCUCUGAACCCAGCUCAGAGCAAAAGUACACCUCCAGUUGUAGCAUCUGAUCACCAUAAAUAAAUGAAGGAACGCGAACAAAUUAAAUGCAGAUAUUUUCUUCUUGGCUCUCCCUUGUAAAAAUACUUUAGUAGUACCCCUUUCUUCAUUUUCUCUUCCUUGUUACUUACCAAAUGCUUGCCGAGUUACCAAACUAACCUAGUGGAAAAGAAGCUUCAAUUAAAUACAAGCAGUAUAUGAUUUGUUACUCUACAACGUGGCACUACUUGUUUUCAAAACGAUCAAUUCCCAAUGACAGCAAAGGAAAAUCUUUCCUUUCCAUCUUUCUGUUUAUGUCCCGCGGGGUACCAACAUGGCAAGUAAAAUGUCAUGGAUCAAUUACCAAAAUAAACGAAACUGAUAUUUCUCCCAUGAUUUGACUCGUUCUCUGUUAAUGUUUCUUUUCAUGGUCCAGAUCAUGCUCUAAAGUAUGAUAUGCUGUUAACACAAUCCAAACACUUUAAACCACUCUAAUUGGACAAUAAUUCUUAGUAGUAUUAUUAGAUAGUGAUCAUCAAUCAGGUAUAAGCGCUUUUCAUUUGAUUUGAUUCCUUAGGAGGCCAUUCAUUUCUAUCGAAUUGGAAAAAAGAACAUCAAACUGUUCUUCGAACCUUUUAGUUCUCAAAUCCAAUUAUUAAAGCUAAAGUGAGGAAAAAAUGUUUGUGCGAAGAAUCCAUCUAAAGGGUCGUAGGAACUUUGGCAACUUACCAAAACUAAUAUGUUGCAGUCGCAAUUAAAAAGGAUACACAGCUAUAAAUGCCACUACGGCAUACUUUACUAGUUCAUGCUUCACCAUCUACAUUUUUUAACAUUCUCAUGAUUGAUCAGAAGAAUUGGACUAAAUUUCGAAUUGGGAGACCAAAGGAAACCAAUAAUAAAUAUAAGUUUACAGGAUUUUUUUUUUGUUGGGGGGGGGGGGGGGGUUGGGGGUAUUUGACCCUUCACCAAAACCAUCGCCUGCAAUUAAGAUUGGAUCUGAAAUUUCUACUUGUUUGGUCCUAUUCUGGAAGGUGUAUCAUUAGAUACAGAUAAAGAUGAUGAAUUGAUGAUGAUGAUCCUCCCAAUUCCAAGAGGACCACGAGGACCAUACAUACAAACACGAGUGAGUGUUACGGAUGCAGGAUCAAUUGUUGCUGUUAAAGUUUCCUCAAUGUGGGGACUCUUCUUUAUUUGCUUUCUUUCUUUCUUUUUCCUUUCUAGUACCUGACGAGACUCCUCUCCCCUUUUUUUUUUUUUGCUCCCUCUCUUUUGACAUGGUGAAAUUUGUGUCAUAGUCAUGCUACCCAAAUCAUUGUACCUCAUCCAUUUAAAGCUUAUUCACUUCUAUCAAUGUAUUUCUUCGUCUUUCAAAUCAAUUAUCUUAUCGGCUUAUCCCCUUACAGUACGAAAUAGUUUUUAAUAAUUAGACAUACACCACUGAAAACAUUUUUGCAGCACAAUCUCCCCCCACGACAAUUAACGGACUCAAAGAAUACAUGGAAUCUAAUGAGAAACCUUAUCACAGCUCAGCAACCCCGUCAACCACCCCUUUUUUUUUUUGUGGUAAAAUAUACUUUAACCCCUGCGAUUUAGUAAUUUUUCAUAUAACUUCUCCAUAAUUUUAAAAACUAUAUGUAACCUCAUUGUAGUUUAGACUGAAGUGUCAAUGUGAUAAAACUGAUCCUCUAUAACGGAAUCCAAAGAAAUAUUAAGAACAUCAUUGUUUAAAAACUAAAAUAAUUUAAAGCAAUCAAAAUAUAUAAACUUAAUACGUAUGAUACUUUAACUCCUUAUGGUUAUGUGUAUAUUACUACAUAACUUUUUAUGAUUUAGUGUUUUAUCAUAUAACUCCCUUAUGAUUUUCAAAAUAUAUACAUAACCCUUCUGUGAUUAAUUAAUAAGUUUCAACUUCAUAAAAGGAUACUUUUGACAUUUUAAUUGACUUCAUUAUGGAGUCAAUUAAAAUGUCGUGACUUUCACACUUUAGUCCAAAUUAUGAGGGGGGUUAUAUAUAGUUUUUGAAAUCACAAGAAAGUUAUGUGAAAAAAUACUACCCCUUUUUUGUUAAAAAAAAUUUCUUAUUGCAUGGUCUAGGUUAGACAUUAAAAUAGUUUAUUCUUUGGAUUAACUUUUCUUAUAUUGAUACAUAAGUAUAACGCCAGUAAAUUUUAAUACAUGGCACAUAUCUAUGCAAGAAGGUUUCAUCUUUAUUCUUAACUAAGUAACUUUCGUGCCCUGUAACACGGUCUAUGUGAUAUCAAAAAAAAAAAAAAAAAAAAAAAAAGAAAGAAAGAAAAGUCGAUGUGAAUAUUUUGCAAAUAAAAGGUCACCCUUGGGUAGAAAUUUACAGAAACUCCCCAAACGCUCCUCUCGUGCACUAGAUUAGAGGCCUCUCAAGUUGAAAUCUGUACCAUUCAAACCAAUUGGAGUAAUUUCUAUAAUUUCUAGUGUAAAAUCAUAAAAUUUGGGUAUAAACUUAUAUUUGUUAACACAUACAACUGAUUUGUCGAUCACACCAAAAUUAUACCAGUUGAUACCAAAUGUGUAGAAUCCAAAAAUUCUAACAAAAAUAUACGGGAGAUAUAUUUCAUAAAAUCAAUGCAUAUAGAGAGGCAAUUUACAUACAUAAAAAUAUAUGUGGGAGAAGAGAAAUAAUAUCAACAAUAAUUUAUUAAUCACUUCAUAAGAACAAAACUCUCAAUUCUUCUCAAUUCUUCACUUUUCUCAACUAAACAUAAUAAUAUGACUCCCCAUUUAUAAACUAGAUGAUUUGAUAAACAAGUCUUACAACCAUAAGAAAUUUUCUAAUAAGAUACUAAUUUCUAAAUAAUAAAACUAACAUAACUUGACUCUAAUAGAAUUACUAAAAUCUUAACUUGACUAAAACUUACUAAAUAACAAUAUAAAAUAUUUCUAAUUUUGAUUUGAUUUAAUAUGCCAACAUUGCCUCCCUAAAAUCAAGUUCUCUUUUGGAUCAGGUUCACCAUCAUCACAGAGAGAUCAGGUUCACCACCGUCACAAUCAAUAAUCUCUCUUGAUUUUCGCUGCAAUAUUCCACGUACCUGGACAAAUUUAUCUUGUUGCUCAACUUUUUAUUUGCGAAAAUAAUUUAAGCUUCUAGAUAGAUUGUUUUCGUCACCCAAUUUGAUGUCAAUUUAUUGAUAAUUCAUUUUGUGAUUUUCAUAAUCACAAUUCAACUGAUAGGAUUAUUCUUCGAUCUCUGCUGUAACAUCCGCAAUCAAUCAAUCUGACAAUUCUCAAACCAAUCUUAUGGUCCAAUCCUCACAGACUAGACACUCCGUGACCAACCUUGUGGUCUAAGUCGAUCAACUAAUUUUUUCGCAAUAAUUUUUGUACUCUAAUUCUGACAGCGAAAAAGUCACAAUUAACCCUUAUAAUCGGGUCAAUUCUUCAAUGUCUACAGGCACCGCAGCAUCAAUUUCUUCAAUGUCUAGGGCUCUGAUACUAGAUUUAGAAUCCAAAAAAUCAACCCAAAAACUUAUUGGAGAUGUAUUUGAUAAAAUCAAUGUAUAUGGGGGGAGGCAAUUCACACACAUAAAAAUAUGUGUGGGAGAAGAGGAAUAAUAUCAACAAUAAUCUAUUAAUCACAUCAUAAGAACAAAGCUCUCAAUUCUUCUCAAUCUUUCUCAAUCCUUCACUCUUCUCAACUAAACAUAAUAAUAUGACUCCCUAUUUAUAAACUAGAUGAUUUGAUAAACAAGUCUUACAACCAUAAGAAAUUUUCUAAUAAGAUACUAAUUCCUAAAUAAUAAAACUAAUAUAAUUUGACUCCAAUAGAAUUACUAAAAUCCUAACUUAACUAAAAUUUACUAAAUAAUAAUAUAAAAUAUUUAUAAUUUGAGUCUUGAUUUAAUAUGCCAACAAAAUGUAGUAAUAAUUAUGCUAACCGAUUUAAAUUGGAUAGAUUUCAACUUGUGGACCUUGAAUCCUGAUCCCUCAUGCACCCCUCAGAUAAAAAUUAAUUCUAGAGAGGAGGAGAAGAAAAAGAAAAAAAAAAAAGGUUAAAAUGAAUCGGGUAAGGUCGAAAGAUUUACAUUGGCUUUCUGUCAUAUUUGUGGUCCUCCUGUCCUUGGAGGUCCCAGCCUCUUCUUCAUGGGUUUCUGGGUCUUGCUUUUCCCAAGCAUGAGGCCAACAUAGAAAACAAAGCAGAUGUCUUUACGUAGCCAUGAAAAAAGGGCAAAAGCAACCACAUGCCAAAAGGUAUGCUCUUUUUAUUGAGUGAUCACAGCCAAAAGCCACUUUCUUUCGCCAGGAACUUGCUUAUAAGAGAUUAUUUCUAAACUGUCUUUAUCUGGAUCACCCACUGAUAUCAUAAUAUAUAAAAACAUUAAAGUGCUAAAAUACAGAUGCCAUCAAGAAACCCAAUUCCUAAUUGGUUAACUAUAAUUAUAUCUGAUUAAUGAGAUGUAAUGAUACCUAAACAUGUCUUUGAACAUCAUUGUGCUUCUACAUCGAGGGAUAGUCAGUCUUGUCCAAUUCCAUGAUUAGUGCAACAUGCAUUUGUGAGUAUGUUAGUGCACUAAAGGAAGGCAAGAGGGAAAAUGAGCAGAAAACCAAUAGAAUACACAGCUAGCUGUAAGAUAACCAGUUAUAAUUGAAUAAACCAUUUUCCUGAUUUCUUAUUGCAGAACACAGUCUCUGUCAAUGUACACACACACACACACACACACACACACACAUAUAUAUAUAUAUAUAUAUAUAGAUGCUUUGAGCACCAAAAUUACAGCUUAAAAAUCUACACACUAUGGCGUGGCAUUGUCACGAGGACAUCAUAUUCACUUACUGCACAUCAACAGAAAUCUUGAUGGGUGUAAUUUGAUCAACUGGCACUUACCACACAAGUGCACAACAAGUUAUAAAGCACGAAACCAGUGAGGGGAAAGAAGAAAGCAUGAAGAGCCAUGCCACUACAAAGAAUUGGACCACAACCAUAACCUUUCAAGAGAACCCUACAGUUAUGAUCAACCAAAAGUUCUAGAUGGAGAAAAGAAAAAGAAAAAGAAAAAUUAAGGCCGGUGUGCAUGCAUUUAUGCUUCCUACUUUUGUCUAUUAUCAAUUAAUUACACGUUCAAAAUAUCCAACACAAUAAGCACCUUCAAGAGGGUUGCUUUGAAGAAAAUUAUAAAUAACUAGAACAUUUGGAGGUCGAUCUUCAAAGAAAGAGUAGAGAACAGAAUCCAAUAUAUUAACUGGAGAAAAUGGUAAAUGAGACGAGAAGAACACAUGGGCAGAGCAAAGCUUCAAACAUAACGUACAGACCUGUCACUGUCUGUUAGUAUCUUGAUAUUUUCUUUGCCGCUGUCCAAGAAAGAAUGGUCCAUGUAUCUUGUUAAAUGAACGUCUUCCUACAAUUUGCAAUCAACUACUAGUUUUGUUAAAAAUUGUGGAACCUAGUCUUCAUUGUAGGAACACCAGCACCACACCAGAUUGAUGUGCGAAGCUUGUAAACAAUGAGGCAAUGUAUAGAAGUGGGGAAAGGAGUAAUUGCUGUGAAGAUGCAGAUAGCAAUGAAGUAGCAUUCUUCAUGUAUUGGUCUUCUAUUUUGCGGAGAAGAAGGUGUAACACUGAGGAACACCAUUUCUUUCUGCUCUUGUUUGAUAAACUAGGGAAUCAAUAAUCCAGACAUGAUGUGAAGAAUUAUAUUGAAAUAAGCCUAAUAAGCAUCAGCAAAUCCAAACAUGGGGCAAUGACAUUAAAAGCAUAUAUGACAUUCAUUUUGGUAUUCAAUCAGAAAAACAAAAUUUAUGGACAAGUCCAACCACGUAAAUGGUAAUUGUGGAAUGUUUAGCUUUGGGAAGGGACAUGAAUCAUCACAUAAGAAUUUUCCGCACACGUUUCUUUGACAUGGAAUGAAAGAGGUGUUGCGUACAGAUGUUUGCCUGAUUUCAGCACAGGAUGGAGAUCAAGGUCAUGGAACUUGGAGCAGGCCGAGAUGAUUGGUGGUCCAUUUAACAAGAUUAAAGUCUCAUCUUGAUUGUACACAGAUAACGGGAAAGAAGGGUUGAAGAGCUUUAUUCACAAAUCCAAGGCUCCACAAAUCGAAAGCCCGCAUAAAGGGUGAUGCCAAUCCUUUGCCACCCGUGAUGUUUUCAGAGUAAAACUCUGCCCAUAUCUUGAUCGAUGGGUACAACAAGUCAACCAGCCAUGUAAGAUUUAAGUCUUCGUACUAGCACUGUGUUCUUCUUCUACUUCAUGGUUAUUAAUUGUAUUUCUUUCCUUUUGAUCACUAAUGUCCAGCGAGCCUCCCUAACAGAAGUUCCCAUAAGGAAACAGAGUGAAAGCGCCCUGGAGAAUUAAAUGAUUGUCGGGUUUAAGUCCAGAAAAAUUAAAGCUCCCGUCUCACCCUUCCUUCAGGGGACCAAACAAUGCUAAAGAUAAGACCCAGGGUGGAACUAGCAAGCAGUAUCAUUCAGUAUAUGAGAAUGGUAAGUCCUGGAAGGUUGCGUAAGGCUAUUUCAAUCAGAAGCUAGACAUCGAGAGAAAGAGAAGAAAGAAGUUUCCUUCUCUAAUCUACUUGGACAAGAUCGUGCGUCCUUAUUCUAAUCAAAACCAGGCCUACCUGGAAAAUCAAGCAAAAAGGACCCCGAAACUGAGCAGACACCAUGGCACUAAAAAGAUCAAGUGAUACCCCGGAACUGAAUUAAGAAAACGUGAUCAAAGUUCCCAAACCUGUCGAACUUGAUGCCAGGCAUCAAGAGAAAGUUAAAGCUGAAACUGCAACAAAAACAUAAUCAGCAGCUUAGUUCGAUAUCCCUAUUCCCUUCUGUGGGAGCGUAUGCAAAUAAAACCAAAUUCAAUUAAUUCCCUUCCUGUCUCCUUCUCCAUCAGGACCACGUCCUCAAGCAAGUUGGUGCCUUGUAGCUUUUUGUGUUUGAUCAAUUCGACAAUUAUGAGGCCUACAUUAUACUCAAAAGACAAGCAAAAUCGGUGUCUUUUUAUUGAUCCAAAUUGGAAUAUAAUAAGUUCCAUUUUUCUGUUCUCACCAUUUUUUCAGUUGUCUUGACAUGAAAUGUCGAAAAUGCAGCAUACAACCCCCUCGGGCCACCUAGAAGUACAUGCCAAAUGGAGAUCAGCAGACCCAAGAAACUAUGCAGUGGCUAACUGGCUAAUUACCAAGUACAACCAGCAUCUCAUAGUAAUUGCUAGGUUAAGAGUAAAUAGCUUAGGUUCAAUGAUUUGAUCAACGAUAUGUAGUUGCCAAGAACUUUCGGCCAGCCAAAACCACCUCUUUUUUUUUUUUCCUUCCUUCUUGAGAGUGUCGCACUUUCCAUUCGAGAUAUCCCAAUUUUUUUGUAUUAUUAGCCAAAAGACAAAAAUAUGUUUUAUCCCCUUCUCUAAGCACAAGAGAAAUCAUGAUCUCCAUAAUUAAGGUUGGAUGACAAAAAUUGCAAACGUACGUGAGCUACUCUAAACUGCAAAUUUUGCCGUUAAUCGCUUAGCUAAUGCCGGAAAAGAGAGCCCGUUUGCCAAUUAAGACAUUUGCACUAGCAUCAUGUUAUAUAAAAGAGUUAAUAAACAGCCCAUCUUGGAUAAAUCCUAGUACAAAGCCUAUACUAAGCCACAUAAGUACUAAGAAGAAUGUUGAAAGCCCAUCUUAAGUCUAUUAUUUUGGAAUAUUAUUAUUUUCAGUCUUUUUUUUUUUUUUUAUAGGUGCACUCUAUAAUAAAAAGUUGGAGAACAGAAUAAAGCGUAUUCCUUCCGGAAAUGAGGACAUAGUGGCAAAGAAGAUCAAUAUUUUAACAAGUGAGCAUACAAUAAAAUUGCACGAUCAGAGGAAGUUGUGCGAAAUAUGAUGAUCACGACACUUAAUUCCUCUUAAGGAAAGGGAUCAUUGAUCAAACCCUCGCCUGCAAGAAAGAAUCAAAUCAUGCGGUGGAUCUAUUUAUUGGACAGAAUGUAGAUUAUUCGCCGUCAGACGGCGGGAAAUUAAUUCAUUGAAUUUUCAGUAUUUUUUGGGUCUCUCUAGAGAGACUCCAGGCCUUGAAACAAAAGCCGAGGGGUUGACAAAUGGGUGGGCUUUGGACAUGGCAAUUGUGUUAUUAAUGCAGUGUUAAGUUUUUGUUUUCUGUCUUUCAUCGGUCUUCCAUUAUGAUUUCGAUUAACUUUUUAUACAUUAAUAUUUACACUAACAGUUAUGAUGCAUGUCGAAUGAUUUGAAUUUUAAAUUUGAAUUCAUAUUAUGCACCAAUUAUCGAAAUCCACAAGUAAACAACGGUGUAUGAAAAACUUAUCCAAAUAAAAUAACCAUUCUGGGAAAUAGCAAAGUGAAUACAGUACAAAUGAAUAUGAUUUGUGGAUUCUUAUUUCUGGAGCGGUCCAAGUACAGAAUUCAAGCACUGUGUAUUUCUCCACCAUUAGUUGUGCGAAUCUUUCAAAUAUCCGGAUCACCAUGGCGGCAUUGGGUUGUUGCACGUAUUCUGAAUUUGGGUCAUCGUUGAAUUGUUUGGCGGAUCAUUUGUUGCACCUAUUCUGGAUAUGGAUAUGUGUGAAGUAGUCGAUAAAUGCAAUUUUUGAAUCGAAAGGAAUCACUCUUUGCAAAGCUGGAAUUAAACAUAAGUCGACAAACCUGGAUUUGGGUCAUUGAUCUGUCCGCCAAAUCAGAGCUACACGUAAGUCGGCAAAACUGGCAGAUACGAAAUUUGGACAAUGAAGAAGAUUGGCAUUGAUUGAUUAAACCCUAUGGCGGACUAUAUAUACUGAACAUCUCAACAGAAUGAAUCAUCCCCCUGAUCAUUGAUAUACAGAACUCAAAAGAUGGAGAAGCUACAACUUAGCUUGAAACUCCUGUUUUUGGUACUUUCUCUUCUGUGCCAUGAUGGUAAAGCUUCUAUAUCAUCAAUUGGUGGGCUCAAAAUGGAGGAAUUGUUGCAAGAAGAGCCCUCUCAGAACUUCGCUUCCCCGAAAUUUGGAUCAGAUACGUCUUUCAGCCUUUCAUCAGCGUAUCUUUACUCCCAAAGCGGGCGCAAAGAAAAUGACAAGAUUCAAAGGCUGCCUGGACAGCCUGACGGAGUAGACUUCAACCAAUAUUCAGGAUAUGUUACUGUUGAUCCCAAUUCAGGACGAGCUUUGUUUUACUAUUUUGUCGAAUCACCAAGAAACUCUUCAUCUAAUCCACUUGUCCUGUGGCUCAAUGGAGGUACUGUUGCUAAAUGUUGCCAGUUUAACUUUGUUUCUUACGAAAUUUAAUUAGUUUAUCAAGUGCUAGGCAUUCCAAGCUCUUUGCAGGUCCCGGUUGUUCUUCUCUUGGAGCCGGAGCAUUGACGGAACUUGGGCCAUUUAGAGUUGAAAAAGGUGGCAAGAUUCUCUACAGAAAUCAAUAUGCAUGGAAUGCAGGUCAUUGGAUUCUAGAUUAUUUUCAGUCUUCCCUCCAUGUAUAAUAUGAUAAUACACAUAACAGAGAUGAAGAAUCUAACCAAAGUUGGACUUUAAUUCUUUCUCAGAUGCCAAUAUCAUAUUCUUGGAGUCUCCAGCUGGUGUUGGAUUUUCAUAUACAAAUACAACAUCAGAUUAUGAUUUCACUGGGGACGAAAGAACUGCAGUUGAUACGUAUACGUUUCUAGUCAAUUGGCUUGAGAGGUUCCCCGAGUACAAGACUAGGGACUUUUUUAUUGCAGGAGAAAGCUAUGCUGGCCAUUAUGUACCUCAGCUAGCUCAAGUGAUACUACAUGCAAACACUAAUACGAACCAUACUAAAAUCAAUCUAAAAGGAAUCGCUGUAAGUGAUAAAGUUAAAAUUGACAUGCCUGUUAGUUUUUCUUUUUUAUUUUUUCAGCAGAGAUGGGUGAGAUUUAAGAAGUAAGAAGGACACAGGAGAUUAGAAUCCAAAAUCACUAAAUUCUGGAGUUUCAAUCUUCACCGUUAGACUAAUGCUUCAUUGGCACAUGCCUAUUAGUUGAAAGGAUUGAAGUUGCAUACUAAAAUUUAAUAUGGAUAAAUCAUAAUUUCAGGUUGGCAAUGGGUUGAUUGACUACGAAUCCUACAGUAGGGGAUGGUUAGACUAUUAUUGGACUCAUGCCCUUAUAUCAGACGAAAUGUAUAUUGGACAUGAAUCCAACUGCAAUUUCUCGUCUCCUGCUCCUCCAUCUGAUAUAUGUCGCCAAUAUCAAGACCAAGUCACAAAUGCCACUAAGGACAUAUACUCUUACGACAUUUUUGCGCCCUUGUGCAAUUCCACCUCUUCAUCCACUCUGGCAAGUAUUUAUCAAUUCUUUAUCUUUUCUAAAUGUGCAAACGUUGUUGAUCAAAUCUAUGGUUUCUUAUUUCCCUUCUAUUUUUUUUCCUGAUAAUUGCCUUGAAAUAAUAUUGACAGAUCUCAGUCUUUGAUCCCUGCUCGCUGGAUUAUGCUUUCGACUACUUAAACAACCCCGCAGUUCAGAUUGCUCUUCAUGUGGAUGCUGCCACUUUUCCUUAUCCCUGGGAACUGUGCAAGUAUAUCACUGUUACUCUUGAAGAAGAAAUGGUCAUAAAUUGUGCUUUUUAAGUUUUAAAGGUUUGAGCCACCAAGAAUAUUCACCAAUGUUCUUCUUUUUUGGGCUGUGGAAAUAGUCUUACCAUGAAUGGUAGCUGGAAAGACCGACGUUUGCCUAUACUACCAAUUAUCACUGAGUUGAUGGAAUCUGGAAUUCCAGUUUGGAUUUACAGGCAAGUCAUUAGAGAUAAACAAUGGCCAAUCUUUAGACUGAAUUUCGUCAAAUAAACUCUGAAAAUUGAAAAGAAAGAGUCCUGUCAACGAAACGAAAACCAAAUUCUCCUACAAUUCAACAUCUUCAAAUAUUGUAUAAUUUAACAGGAUUUAAGCAUUAAAUAAGACUGAAUCUGAAUAAAGAAAAUGUUAGAAGUGAACUUAACAAAGUCAGAUGAUUAAUUUGCAGUGGUGACACGGAUGGUGCAGUGCCAGUAACGUCCUCAAGGUAUGCCAUCAAUAAACUUGGGAUAUCUGUGAAAACUCCCUGGUAUCCUUGGUACCUCCAGAAUGAGGUAAGUGUCAUAUAUUUCUUUUUUGAUCGGCUUAUUUGUUGUAUAACGUAUUAUUUUAGAAUGAGAGCCUUAAACACUUGAACAUUACACGCAAACAAUAUCUCUGGAGUUUGUUAGUCCAAUGAAGUGGCAAAAAUGAACUUUUACAAGUAAAACUUGUUUCAAGAACUUACUUUGCCUAAUUAUUCAAGCAUGUGUUAAACAAAAAAAAAAAAAGCAAGCUCUUCAUUAUAAUGGAUUGUAGUAAGAUGAAUUAUCUAGAGCUUCCUUUAUAUUUUGUGUGGAAUAGAAGACUUAGUGGUAUAAAAAUUUUUGAGAAGUUUCAUCUAUUAAAUUAUGCUUUACAUUUCGCAUGAUACUUGCCCAUCAAGAAUUAUGGACUUGUCUGAGAUAUCAAUGCUGGGUUUGCAGGUUGGCGGAUAUGUGGUUGAGUAUGAAAACUUGAUGUUCGUUACCAUAAGAGGAUCUGGACAUUUUGUUCCUAGUUACCAGCCAGCAAGAGCCCUUGCACUCUUCUCUUCAUUCAUAAACCAAAAACUUCUCCCAUCCAAAUAGACUGAAAAAAGGGGAUGCUUUAGGAUGACCGAAAGAAAAUGCGGAUAACACAUAUAUGUUCUUGGCAUAUAUGUCAAACUACUCGUCUGGCCUUCUUAUUCAUUAGCCAAAAAAAUUAGUAUGAGACCUGACAAAUUAAAUUUUGUUCGACUGUCUUGUUAGUUGAAUGCAAAAUCUGUGAUCCAAAUUACUACUAUUUCGUGUUUAAAUGAAAAGAGCACAUGUCUCGACACCAUCUUAAGAUGAUAAUUCUAAGUACAGUAUUCAUGUGUUUUGCAUUUUCAAAUGAAAAAAUUGCCCAAAACAUCCCUUGCAUUUUGUUAAAUGAAUUUCUUGGUCAUUUACUUUUAAAAUAUUAACUUUAUGUCCCUUACAAAUUCAAAUUUAAGUUAGUAAAACUUGGUCCCAAUUUAACUACUUUUGAAUCUUAAAUUACCAAGUGACUCGCAUGCAAUCAUUUUUUAUAUACAUCAAGUCAAAUUCCAUAUCUUUAGUGGCAAAAAUGAAUAUAAAUUGGGUCAUAUUCCAAUUUUUUAGGGAAAGAAUGCACAUAAUUUGGGUCAGAUUAUACCUUUUUAGAAACAAAUAAAAUGAAUAUAGAUCGGAUCAUUUGUAUAACUACAAAUAGGAUCUAACUUUUUUAUCGAAAUGGUCGAAAACACAAGUUGGGACUAAAUAUUAUCGACUUGAAUUCGUAAUAGAUAUAAAAUUAGCAUUUUAAAAGUGAAUGACGAAAAAAUUCAUUUGAUGAAAUGUGAAUGAUGUUUUGAACGAUUUUUUUUUUUCAAAUAUAUUGCAACAACUUUAGAUACAAAAAAAACGAGUAUUUGUGGUGAUUAUGGGGCAAUUGCAUGAAUUUUCAAGAAAUAAGUUGAUUAUAAUGGUAAUAGUUUUACAACAAAGGAGUUCUUUAAGCGUGAAAUUGAGAAAUGGGGUGGAAUGGGUUGAGUGGUUCGAGAGGAGAAUAUGUAGGUGAGAUGCAUUUGAUUCGAGUCCUCCCAUUCACAAUAAAAAAGUGUCUGGAGUUGAAAAUGAGAAAAUUAAAAUGGAAAGAAAAAGAAAGGAAUAUGCUCAAUAGGAAAAGCUGUGGAAGUGAUCAUGUGGAAUAAAUACACAUUUUGUGUGUUUUAAUCUCCAUUAGUACACAUUUUAUUGGACAAAAUUGAGUUAUCACAACUUGUAAAACUUUGUUCAUAUGGUUUUCCACUUGUGUAUGCAUGGUUUCUUAUCCUGGCCAACGAUCCCUGAGGUCACAAAAGAAUCGAAAACCUCCGACACGUUAGAGACCUUUGGUAUGCAUAAAACGAUCAUAUAUAAUCCCUUGUCCUGUUGUCAUUGCUCCGAAUCAAAUCAAACUAAAAAAUCGUACGCUAGACAAGUAUAGACUCCAUAAGUUACAAGCACAGCAGAAUUGCAUGCACAUUCUAUAAAAUUGUAUUUUCUCGACGUGUUUUUUCCUAAAUUGAAAUUGCUAAAAACACCUAAUGAAGAUCCAGAUGGAGACCGCCGAGUACGUACCUGCAGAAAGCAACAAGCCGAGUGCAUGCUCAAAAAUUUUGGUUUACCUUGGCAAACAAACAUGUUGGUGAAGUUUUUAAUGGAUGGACUUUUAGCUUGAACAAAUUCUGAAGGGGGAAAGGAAAAAAAAACAUAUAUAUACUCCAUAUAAGAAUAUCAAAUUGCAGUCCUUCCAUGCACUAUAAAUCAGAGCAUUUCGAAAAUGGACUUCCAAAGUCCCCACAGGAUUCAUCUUCCAAAGUCCUAACUUCUCAUGUGGUUUAAUGGAGAUAAUACGCAUGUCUUGGUGAUAUAGUUUUUUCAUUUCUCUUUGGUCUUUGACCAUGUAAAACCUUUUUUCACUUGAUCAUGAUUUAAUCAAAUCUCAUUUUAUUUUAUAAUAAGGAAAAAUUGCAAUUUUGAUCCCCAAUAUUUGGCCUAUGUGUCGAACUGAUAUCUAAUAUUUUGAUCAAAACAAAUUUGGCCCCCAAACAAACUUUGUGAUUUUAGGCAAAUUUAGGAUAACUAACAGAAAUGGAAUAAUGACUAACGGUCAACAUCAAAUUAUCGUUAGUAAAUAACAUUGACUUUGUACCAAUCUUUUGAUUUUGAAUAUUAAGGAUUUUAGCCUGAAUUAAGAGAGGUUCGAGCAAAACUAUAUUCACUACAAUUCUUGCUUUUUUGGACCGUGGAAAAUUGUCUUAUCGUGAAUCAUAGAUGGAAAGACAGAGUGUUGAUUGAAAGGCCAAUUAUCACUGAGUUCAUGGAAUCUAGAAUUCAAGUUUGGAUUUACAAGUAUGUCAGGCAUUACAAAUGUACAAUGGCCAAAUCUUUAGAUCAAAAAUUUGCAAUCAAUCUGUGAACAUUGGAAAGAAUGAGUCCUAAGUCCUAACAACAAAAGGAAAAUCAAUUUACUCUUGCAAUUCAACUCUUUUGGGUACGGCUUUUUUCCCCUUCUUCCACCCGCUCUUUACCUAACGUUUUCCACCAAGUCGUAAAUUGUGGGAACACCAAUUUCAAGCUUACAAUAUGGUUUUUACAACUUAUUUUGAUUUUUUGCAUAUCAAGAAAUAGGACAUUUCACCUAAAAUUAUUACUGAGAAUCCUACCACUACAAAAGAUAUGAAGACAAUUUUGAAAAUAAAAACCCUAAAUGCAUUUUAAAAAGUAAUUUGUUUCCGUUUGUCAUUUUCAUCUUGUCUAUUGUUUUAUGAGCAAAUUACUCAGCUGCCUACUAAACUUUUGUAAUAGAAUGGUUUUGUUCAUUCAAUUUUUAAAAGUAUGAAAUUAUCCACUCAACUUUCAAACGUACAUAAUUUAGGUCAUUUCGUCUGUUUUUAUCAUCAGGUCUGUCUCUCGGUGAUGUCUCAUGAUUCGUACAAACCCUUAGAUGUGGUAGAAUUAAUGGCGAAAAUACACAGAAUUGCCUAAAGUAUACACAUCUCGGAGAUGUGUGAAUAACUUCAUACUUAUAAAGAUUGAGUGGCUACAAUUAUACCAUUCAAAAAUUUAGUGGGUAAUAAGGUAACUUGCUUUUGUUUUAUUGUUCUACCUGAAAUCACAAAAGAUACAGAAUCUCCGAGACGAAACAGAUCCUUUGGGAUGCCUACGAAUUUGCAAAUUCCUUGUCAUGUAGUCAGUAUUCCGAAUCAACCAAACUGAAACGUGCAAAUAGACAAAAGCAUCCGUUGCGAAUAAAAAACAUUUGCAUGCACAUUUAAGGAAUUGUAAUAUCUGGCCGUGUUUGCUUAAAUUGUAUUAGUUGCUUAAAACACCUAAUCGAGACUGUGCGCCGGAGUAUUUGAAGAUAAGUUACUACACCUUCCACCAUAUUUCUUUUUUUUUUUUCUCACGUCCCAAAAUAAGACUCACCAUUUUAAAAUUCAUACAAAAUAUUAGUUGCUUUUUAAUUUUAUCAUUUCAAAAAUUAACCUUUUCAAAUUUGGAUGCACAUUUAAUCACCAACUGAAUGGUUUUUAUAAAAUGCUAUAGAUGUAAUUUCAUUCAAUGCACACAUCCAGACAUCAACGAUUAAAUGUCCCCUUAAAAUGAUGAAUUUCCAAAAAAAAAAAAGUAUAAUAUUGAGACGGAAGGAAUCCUUUGUUGAAUAUAUCAAGGAAAGCAGUAACAAGUUAAGAUUAUAGUGCAUGCAUGCUGACGUGCUCUACAGAUGUGGUUUAACAGGGCAAAGCUAACAUGUCAGCCAAAGAGAUAAUUGACGGACUUCUGGUUUGAACAAACUCUGACGGCUUAAAAAGAAACAAACCAGUUUAUAAGCAUAUCUUGGUGAAUAGAUGUAGCAAAAUGGCAUCAAAUUGCCGACCUUCAAAGGACUAUAAAUCAGAUCAUUUCAAAAGUAGGCUUCAGUGCACUUUCAAUUCCUCGGUUACAGGAGAGUAGUAGCAUAGCGUCAUAAUGGCCAAUAUCCUACUAAUCUUGUCAAUCCUGUUCGUGGUGAUAUCCCAUCAGUGUUACGGGAGUCAACCACUUUCUGAAUUCCUGACAGAGAAAUCGUUCAAAGGUGCGUUUCACGCUGAUUCUUUUAAUGCAUUGAGUCUAAGAUCUGAAUCUGAUGCAUCUGCCAAGGCUUUUGCUGUGCAUGUUAGCCCCCAAGAUGGACUCAAAGAGAAAGACAAAAUUGACAGAUUGCCCGGGCAACCUGAUGGAGUAGACUUCAACCAGUUUUCAGGCUAUGUUAAAGUAGACUGUGGAAGAGUUUUGUAUUAUUAUUUCGUUGAAUCCCCACAGGAUUCAUCUUCCAAACCCCUUCUCAUGUGGUUUGCCGGAGGUAAUGUCCCUUGACAUGGUCUGUUACUUCGCUUUUGGUCUUCAACGUUACAUAACCAAUGUUGAUCACUUGUUCAUUUGUUCAGAAUUCGUUUGUUUAAAAUUCCAUUAUCAACUUUAAUUAUUUACAUAUUGUUCUUGAACAUGCAGUGCCUGGUUGUUCUUCCUUUGGUGUUGGAGCAUGGACGGAAAUUGGGCCAUUUAGAGUCAACAAAGAUGGCAAAACUCUGUACCGUAACCCAUAUGCCUGGAAUAGCGGUAAGUGCUAAUUCGAACGUAGUCGCAUGAUAUGAACCUUUCAUAUGUAGGUUAGUUACUGCAGAAUAGUGACCAAAAGUUUGCAUUUGAAUACUCGUCCCAGAGGCCAAUCUCAUCUUUGUUGAGGCACCAGCUGGUGUUGGAUUUUCAUACUCAAACACGAGUGCAUAUUAUGAACGUAUUGGCGACACCCUCACUGCAUACGAUACAUAUACCUUCUUAGUCAACCGGCUCGAGAGGUUUCCAGAAUACAAGAAUAGAGACCUUUUUCUUGCAGGAGAAAGUUAUGCAGGCCAUUAUGCUACUCAACUUGCUCAGCUGAUACUCCGUCAAAAUAAAUAUUCAAAUCAGACUACUGCGAUCAACUUAAAGGGAGUUGCAGUAAGGAGUGAUUUGACAAGUUUGUCAAUUUUAGUGUAUAAUAAUAAAACUAGAUAUCAAUCUUACUCUUUUUUUUUUUUUUCAAAUGAUAACUCAUGUUUCAGCAUGGCAAUUCGUACAUUGACCAUGAAUCAAGUUUCUACGGAUCAUUAGACUAUGCGUGGAGACAUGCCCUCAUAUCAGAUGAGAUAUAUAACGGAGUGAAUUCCAAUUGCAAUUUAUCUUUAGUCAUUCAAUCUGAUAGCUGCUCUGAAUAUCUGAAUUCCAAUUGCAAUGUCACUGAAGGCAUCAAUCCUUAUGAUAUCUAUGCAUCCUUGUGCAAUUCUACACCUGGAGCGGCUCCGGUACGUAUAAAGUGAUACAUUCUCUUCGAUCAGUCUCUUUUCGAGUGUGCCAAAAACUAAUCUAAUUUUCUUUUUUAAUCACUGGCUAAUUAAAUGAUGACAGUAUUCAUAUGUUGGCCUGUGCUCCACCGACUAUGUCUCGGAUUACAUGGAAAAUCCUGAAGUUCAGAUUGCUCUUCAUGCAAAUAUUUCCACCGUUCCUUAUCCGUGGAAAAUUUGCAAGUAAUGCUACUAAUUGGUAUAAUAUAUUAGAUUGCUAAAUUUAGUACUUCAAACUUGGAGCAAGAUUUUCCAAGUAUUUGACUAUCAUUAAAUUGUCCCUUGGAUCGUAUGUUGUCCUCUGGUAUGUCUCGGAAAUUAGUGAUUUGAAGAAUUGGACCGAUGCUCCUAGGACAGUGUUGCCAAUCAUCACUGAGUUGAUGCAAAGUGGAAUUCAAGUUUGGAUUUACAGGCAAGUCAUUCCAGACCAAAUAUGCUUUUGAUCAGUACUGACAUUUGAUGGAUGGAUAACUCCUGACACAACAACAGCAAAAGCAUAACAAAAUAGUAGUAUUCCUUACCUUUUGCAAAUUUAAUACCUGAUUAAGAGUUUUCAAAUGAUGUUCAGCGGGGACACUGAUAGUGCUAUUCCUGUAACAUCUGCCAAAUAUGCUGUUAAUAAGCUGAAGUUAUCGGUGAAAACUGCUUGGUACCCAUGGUACCUUCAAAAUGAGGUAAUUCUUCUAAUCGCGUUUGCAUUUCUUAUAGCAUCUGCUACAUUUCCUCUUAAAACAAGUGGAUAUAUACAUACAUAUGGUUGCUUGUGCAGGUCGGAGGCUACGUUGUUGAAUACCAGAACUUGACAUUCGUUACCGUCAGAGGGGCCGGACUUUUUGUUCCCGACCAUCAACCCGCAAGAGCCCUCGCUCUCUUCACUUCAUUCAUCAAUGCACAGUUGCCCCCUUCCACCUAGACUUUUAUUCGGGAUGAUGCUUCCGCCACUGUACAAGAAAGAAACUCAUGCGAGCUGUCGCUUUGAAUCAAUGUCAUCUUUUAGUUUUUAUUCUUUCUUUAUUUUCCUUUUCGAAUAAAAUUCAAUAUCAAGUCUGCUUUUUAAAUGUCUCCCUAGCUAGUGUUGUUACAAAUUAUAUCUCUUUCCCUGUGCAUUUCUUUACGUUGUCUCUUUUUAUUUUCUUUUUGAACUAUUGUGAAUCUUAAUUAUCGACAUAUAUACUUGCAAAGAGUCAUUUCCUAAGUUCUAUUAGUGAACAUAAUAACUGCAUGCAUAAUUUUACCGAUCACAGGUCUCACAAGUUCUGGUUCAAAUCAAUUGAGGGCAGAAAGAUGAUUCAAAAUGAGUUAAAAUUAUGAAAAUUUUGCAAUGAUUAAUCAGGCAACAAAACUUGGUCAAUUUUAUAUGAAAUUUUAUAUAUAACUAACACAAGUAAUGAAAUAUGUUAUGAACUAUGUUGAUUUUUGAAAUAAUUUUUAAGUUAAUUUUAGUGGAGUGUAAUGGAGAGAAGCUCUCUCCAACGCAAGGAAGAGGAGCCUAGUCCCACUACUAUAUACUGCAGAGGCUAUCAAACAUCCGACACGAGAGCAUUGCACAAGUACGUACGCUCUAAUUGUCUGUGAACCUCAGAUUCAAGUAGUACGUAAUUUGCUUCAAGAAAGAGUCUGGUUGUCCAUUUGUGAAAACUAUAAUGUUAAAACGGCUAAAUGAUGAAAGCUAUGGUCCCCAAAUUUCCUAUUUUAGUAUGCUAGCUUAAUGAGAUGAGGUAAAUUUUGUGCCAUGGAACUGAGUUGAUUAGCAACUGAUCUUUGCAUUCGGCUAUACAAGAGAUCUUCUGGAGUUUAACAGAGAGAAGAACAAAAAUAUCACAAUCGGGUUUCCUAACAUGAUGACAGUCCCACUAAAUCAGCCAACCGGCUGAGGAAGCGAGCCGACAGGAAGAAUAACCAUAUAUAACCCACCUACAAUCACUAAAAAGGAUAAUCCUGAAUCAGGACGUGAUUUACUUUUCAAAUAAAUUUUCUGGAUUAAUAUCUGUAGGCGAGUGUUGCAAAUUGCGACAGCAGGUUUAUGUCUGUAUAGCUUUCUGGGUAAACUUACCGGGGAGAAUCAGAUAUUCUCCAAGUAAUUAUUCAAAUUCUAUGGAAGUAAUCACCUAUAGGUUGUGUUUGAUCCAUGCCAAUGAAGUUAGGUCGUAAAUAAGGUUGGAAGUUGCCUUGACCAGAGUCGCAAAAACUGAUAGAAACUGGUCACCCUGCACUUGAAAGCACUUGUAGCUAGACAUGCUAUUGAAUUUCAAGAACAUGCAGCUGCCAACACUAGUAUUGUUGACUAUAAUUUUCCUGUCUUGGCAGCAAUAUGCCUUUCUCAUGAUCAAAGGUGAAGCCAUUCAGGCUGAUAACCUUAACGAACUCAUUAAGACUCGACAUUCAGAAAAUCCUCCAAAAUUCGGAGCCAUGGCUUUAUCUAGAUCUUGCAGUUAAUUAAAACUAUGGCCCCAGUGUACAUUAGCCCUCAAGAUGGAUUGAUGGAAGCUGAUAAUAUUGAUUCAUUGCCAGGGCAGCCUGAAGAAGUUGAUUUAAACCAAUAUUCCAGUUACGUAACAGUGAAUCGGGAGGGCAGAAGAGCUUUAUUUUAUAUUAUUUUGUGGAAUCACCUGAAGAUUCUUGAUCCAAGCCUCUAGUCUUGUGGCUCAAUGGAGGUAAGCGGAUUUUUAAACUACUUCUACCAUUUGGACCUUCUUUCUGAUAUUCAGUUUUUUCAUUACUGUCCCUUAUUCUUAUUCCUCCCUCCACAACACAACCCCCUUCUUUCCUUUAAAUGUAACUACCAGCCUGUUAUUAAUCACAAGAAGAAAAUGAGGCGUUGUACAAGAGAUGAAAAUGCGAUUCAAACCAAUUACAGAGAUAUCUUAUGAGCCUAAAAUGUCGGACAGGAAUAUAAAGCAUAGUAGAGGCCAAUAAUCCGCAAUGGACCCCGUUCAUCUAAGACUACCUCCCAAGUAACUUAGGCCCAAGAUACCGAAACAGAUAUAUAGUUUAUUAUCUGUCCUCUCAUUGAUGCAGAGCUUACCACAAAUAUUAUUGACAGCAUGAUAUGGCAAUGAUCAGGGCCAGGAUGUUGCUACCUGGGAAUUGGAGCCAUGCAAGAGCUUGGACCUUUCAGAGUCAAGAGUGACCGCAAGACCCUCUUAUCGAAAUGACUACAGCCGAAAUAAUGUUGCAAAUGUCAGAUUUCUAAGAGUCCCCAGCUGGUGUUGGCUUCUCAUGUUCUAAUAAAAUCCCUUGUGCCGGGUGACAAAAUCACAGCUUCAGAUUCUUAUGCAUUUCUUGUAAACUGGUUUGAGAGAUUCCCACAAUACAAGAACCACGAGUUCUACAUAACUAGGGAGAGCUACGAUGGCCCUCAGCUUGCCCACACCAACCUUGCGAUGAAUAGAAAAUCCCCUAAAACUUUCAUUAUCUCAAAGGCAUUGCAGCAAGUCAAUACUGCAUUUUGCAUUUUUGUUCCAUUACUCAGUUUUUUCCAUGCAAACCCACAGACGAGCAUUCAGUUCAUUCCAUCUACAAUGACAAAGGGGAGGUACGACUACUUCUGGACCCAUGCUUUGAGCUCGGACGAAAUCCGCAUGCAAAAAUUGACAAUCGAACUGGGAAUUAUUCACCCGCAUGCAUGGAACAAGCAAGGGUAGAACGCGGGGAGAUCGGUUUAUUUAACAUUGCUGCUCCAAUUUGCAGGUCUUCAGAGCCAAGCAAACCCUCCGAUUCAGUAAGUGUGCACUGUGCAUUAUUGAGCAUUGUACCAUGCAUGCGUUUAUCAACAAAACACUAUCAUGAUUUGUAAUCACAUCAAAUUAUUUGAGAGAAAUAAUGAAGAAUCCGGAAGAAUCUAAAAAUUAUUAUAAUUUAUUUUUCACUCUCUCUCAAAUUUGAAGCAUUUGCGCGAAAUUUGCACUCCGAAGUCAGAAUCGAAUCCAUUUGGUGGAAACUCUGCAUGUUAUUUGGCAUUUUGAACAUCGUAUACUCGUAAAUGUUGUCCAAAUAUAAACAGUGCCGUUGUUGUUUUAUCCUUAUUAGAUUGAAGAGUGGACGAAUGCUCCAAGAAUUAUACAGGGGCAUAUACCUGAACCGAGUAGAAGUGCAACCAGCUGGGAUUUUUGUCACUCGAUUCAAUCCUCAAAUGGACAAAACAUUUUAAAGACAUUGGCAAAGCAAGACCCUGACAUCUGUUACAAAUGUUAAUAUAUAUGGCAGCGGACCGAUACCAUUGGAGCGGCAGUCCAGAUACCAUUCUUCCCUUAAUCGCAAAUGGCAUCAGAAUCUGGCUAUAUAGGUACAUCACCUGCUAAUUGUUACAAAUUAGUGCCAUACAAUAGAUCUAAUUGAAAAUUCACAUUCACUUCUCACCAAGCUCAACGCACAAUACUAUUUCGGAAAAGCACAAAAGCAACUGAAAAUAAACCUGCUCAAAUUGCAUCAUCCAACAAAAAAUAAAAUAAAAUAAAUAGAAGCAACCUCUUACUUCAUUAACUUCUCAUGAAAAUAGCAGGUUGGCGGCUACGUAAUUGGGCACAGAGGACUGGUUUUACUUACUGUUAGGGACGCAGAGCACGAAGUUCCAAGCCAUCAACCAGAGCGCUCGCUAACUAUGAUUCCUUCAAGGGAAACUUCCUCCUCCCCAAAAAAAAAAAUCCUCCUGAACUUCGAUAGCACUGCUCAUUCGACUGCCAAUCCUACAGCAGUAGAGAUUUAUAAAGCAACAUGCUGAAUCAAUGAGAACCGUAUCCUCUAUUUGCGAUUGCACAAACUUGAAGCGAAUUAAUGGCAUAUAUCCAGCUCAUCUCCUCGUCAAUGAGACACAACAUGCCACGAGACUUGUAUACGGAAACUAAUAAAUUUUUGGGGGACAAGAUCGGUCAGCCAAAAUAUAUAUUAUUUAUUGCUCAAUUUAUUAUUAGCAGGAGGAUCAAUCGUUUAUAUAAAGUCAAAGCUGAACGCAUUGACGUAUGCAUGAGUGUGUUUAGAUUGUAAGUUAUUUGAAAUAUUUUUACUAUAGCACUUUUUGUGAUGUGAUGUAUGUGAGAUAAAAAGGUAAUUGAAAAGAUAAAAAAGUGUAUUGAAAAUUGUAAUGGUGAUGUCAGCAAAUAUAUUUGGCCAAAUAAUUGACUGUCCAAACAGAUUUCAACCCCCAAAAAAAAAAUAUAUUAAAACAUUUACACGACAAAAAAAAUACUAUAUACAGUUCUAAGAAUUUUUCCAGCCCCCCGUGUCUCAGAUCUCUAAGCUACACCCCCCUUGUCCCAUAGAAAAAUGGGCUUGCUCAUAAGCAGAACAAUCAACAUUUUCCCGUUAAAUUGUCCACAAUCUUCUCGCUCUCUCUCUCUCUCAAGUGUUCCUAGAAGCAUACAGUCCAUCCUGAGUGAUGCACUACUUUUACAGUCUUCACCUGCAAAGUUCAUGGUCAAAUCAAAAUCACAGGUUUGAGCUACAUAUAAGGAGACCAUUAUAUAUGUCGUCUUAUGUUACCUGGAAAGGUGGAAAAGCCAUUCAGAAAGGACUAUUAGACUCUCUGGACUUGCUCCUGAACUUUCAAAGCUUCCACAAUGCUGUCAACCCAGCUGCAAGGAGGCAUGAAAUGAGAUUGCUUAAUGUAGUAGAUGUUACUAGUCGAUCUCUUGUUUUGAAAAUAAAAGAUGAAAAUAUUAUGUGGAAGACCACAAUCGAAGAGGACUUGAGAAUUGGAGAACUGUUUGAAGUUGAUAAAAAAAAAAAAGAGGAGGAGGAUAUUAGUGGAAGCCAACUUGCAGACAAGACCAAUGGAUCGCUAACACAAUGGUGUAGUCCAGGAAAGAGUGAAAAAAGGGAGUCAAUACUUGGCAUAGAUGAGCCUGGAAAGCUUUAAAAGUACUGGCUUCAGACCAUUGCAUAGCUGAGGCACUGGGGUGACUUGAACCUAUAUCGGAACAUAUUUCUGCCUUCAUGCCACAAUAGAUACUAUUACCCAUAAUUAAAGACGUUGCAGAAAGUAAAUUCCCUUGAAAAGAAAACUAUUACCCAUCAAGACCAGGAUCUACUGGAUAGUAUACAUUUGUUAACCCUAGUCUUUUUGCAGCCGAAGCAGUUGUCUCGCCAAUACAAGCAACAGCAUUACCCCACCUCUCCAGUUCUGGAAUAAGAUUAAUCCAAGCCCUAUUGCAGAGCAGAUGCAAAAUGAGUAUUAAUAACAGCAAAAAAUGCAGGUAAAAGGUAAAGCACUGACUGCAAAAGUAGAUAAAGUCUUGCAUUCAUCUCAUGUAAUAUACGUCAUUAAAGUGAUAUUACCACAAAGCCAGAACUAACUGUUGAUCUAUUGUCCAGACCAACUGAUCCAGAGCAGUCAAUGCCAGUAAUAGAACAUUUUUUUUCCUUUUACACACAUGAACUGACAUACACAACAUUGUAAGAGAAAGAACCUUCUGCUCUGCGGUAAUUUAAAAGGGCAAAAGUUUUACCGCAGAGCAGAAGGUGAUGCCACAGCAACAACAGGAGCCGCAAGUGCCUGUCUCAAAACCAUCUGAUCAACUUGAUCCACAGGUACCUACAUAUUUGGUAGAGCUCAGAGUCAGCAAUAUGAAGCAGGCAAACACAAAAAGAAAAGGAUAUUUGGCAAUUGGCAUGACUUGAGCAAAUGGAGACUACGCAUGCAACAACCUGCUAUUCCCCAGGUAGUAAGGAACUGGGAAGUUAUAAACAUACUGAAUAGCUCCCAUGAUAAAAAUCCUAACUAUCCAAAACUCAUUUCCCCAGACAACAGUUAAAUGAACAUGGAAAUCCAAGCCCUUGGAACCAGCACAGAAAAUUAUUGUAUUAUGAAAUUUUAAAAUCAAAGUGAAUGACACAGCCAAACUGAAUCCUUAACUCCAUAGACGUGAACAAGUUGUAUCCCUAGUUCCAGGCAACAAAAUAUUGAGAUGCAUGCCAAUCCCACCCAAAAAAAAAAUCAUCUAAACAAAAGCACAUAAGAAGGAACACAAUGCAAAAACAGUAGCAGACAACUGUCACUAUUGAAUUCCCAUCAUGAUAUCUACAAACAGCAAAUCAUACAUUGCCAUCAAUGCAUGAAAGCAAAGACGAGAAUUUAUUGAUAAUUUCACACCAUAUUUACCGUUGUGUAUGUAUUAAGCCGAAUGACCUCAAAUCCACGCUCCGAGAGACCUUCCUCUGGAAAUUAUUACAAAACAAAUCUACUUAGUAUUGCUUUUAUUAUAUAUAAUCACAUAUGGAAACAAAGAGCAAAAGGAACAUGCUCUGCAAGGAUGAAGGUAACUGCAAAAACAGAUAAAUGGUAUCAAAAUGCUGGGAAAGAAAAGCUCAAGGAAAUGGCUAAACUCCACCGAAAUAGAAUCCCUUUAUGUAGAGAUAACCUUCAGCAUCAUUCAUGAUUCGACAGAGAAUCACCAUAUUGCAAAAUGAGCCAUAACUUGAAUACAUAAAGUUUCUAAAACUACUUAGUAUUGCAUCUCUUCAUUUAUGUUGUCCAUCUCUCCAUAUUCUCCUCUAAUAAAAGUAGAGAAAAAAAUCUUCAGCAAUUUAUUGCACAGCCUCUCAUUAUCUUCAAAGAUGCAGAAGAAAUAGAACUGAAGUCGCUACAUAAGAAAUAUCCAACUCCAAAUCCUUUCAGUUAAUAAGAUUAGCUUAAUCUUAAUUAAUAUAGAUCAGUUCCAGGAAAAUGGAAAGUAAAACAUAACGUACUGAUGAUUAUGCCUGUAGAGACAGCAAAACGGAAAAAUGGCAUUACAUAGGCCACCAAUAUGGCAGGUGAUGAAGCGAUGAUUGAGAUGAGUUUCUUAAGUGCUUGUAGAUGUUAUUUAUACUAAUCUACAAUGUGCUUAGAUGAAAUAGAGUAAGUUUGGUAUCCAGUAAGUGGAAAAGAAAACCAAGAUGCCUGUUCACUCAAAGCACUUCUAGUGCAUACAUGUCAACUUAUUUGGUGUCUUUUCACUUUCUAUCAUAUCAAAGGAUAAUAUAAUACACCUGUGCAUAUAGAUACUUGUCUGUGUGUAUGUGUGUGCGCAGAAUCUUUGUAGAUGAAAGUAACACAUACCAAUAUCACUGCUAGCUUUUGCUGAAGCAGGAUAUAGGACACUACAUCUUUCAUUUCCAUGCUUUGGAAGCUCUGAAGCCAAAAUUUUGCCGGUAGCUGAAAAUUACAAUUGAAUUCAAGUUUUCAGGUUUUCAGCAAGCAAAGGUGGCUGCCCAUUUUGGUGAGGAAAUAGACACACAAGCAACAAGCAGUAACAAUAUACAGAAAAAUAUUUUCUGUGGCAUACUGUCCAAGGUUGAGAAAUACUUUAACCGCAAACCUUUUGAUGGUGCAAAAGCAACAUGCAGGUACUGUUUUGAUUGUUGUGCAACUUUUUCAAAUAUACUAGCUGUACCACCACCAACGACACCAACCUUAACAUUUGGGGUACCUGCUGCUCUGUAACAGAAAUUUGUUACAAGUUUAUUGACCAGCUAUCUUAAAAGAUCACGAUCAAGAGUAGCAGAAAUAAAUGGCUAACUCAUGCGCAUUACUUAAUUUGAAGAGGGUAAUUCUUCUGUCAAGUCAAUUUUCUAGUGGAUUUCCUGUCCACUAGGUGACUUUGUCUUGUUAUUAUAAUUUCCUCUAGCAGAAAACUGACAUGCUUGAGUGAAAUCUUCACCCUAAAGGCGAUUCUAAGAUAUGCCAACAGAAAAUAAGAAGUCUGCUGUAACAAAACUGCAAGUUCUGCUGUGACUGUCUUUUAAAAUGCUUCAUUUUGGAAUAAUUCCAAUUACCCUCUUUCUCCAGUGGGCAUAAAGUUCUGCAGACACAAUCCUGACUCUCAUAUAUUUUAGAAUUGGCUAUUGGAUUCAAUUCACAUUUAUCCCACUAUUACUAACCUUAUGCAAUAGGUUAUAAAGCGAUCGAGACAUAUGCAUAACCAAAACUCUCCUCUGAUUCUCAGCUUUAAAUUAAAGGGGAACCAAACAUAAAAAGUUCAGCAUUCAAAAAUGCAGUUAUAACCUAGGCCAAGGCAAAACUAGCAUUGCAUGGUCAUGAAACGGGAUCACAGGACUUCGGAAAUGUGGUUAAAACAUAAUUUUUGCUUAUUUACUUUCAUAAACUCAAAUGGCAAAAAAAAAAAUGUAUCAUGAGAAUCUUCAAAUUUCAUUUGUCAUCAGAUACAUUCUUUGGAGAACCAUCUUUGUAGGUUACCAGAUAGGGCCAGAAGCAAUACUUUUCCAAAGAAUGCAGAAGUACUUAUCAAUUAAGAGAUGGAUCAUGUUCAAAGAUAACCUACGUCUUCCCACUUCAGCUACAGUCAGGAAAAACUUACUUCCAAGCAUCAAGGAAAACUGUUCCUGCUUCCGGUGAAGUUACGAUGACCCAGUCAAAAGCAGUCUCUGUUGGCACAAGGAAUAAGAAAGGCAUGGACUUGGGAUCAAUAAAGAAUCAAUACUAGAUUUUACUCUUUCUUAUUAUGAAAUCAAAGUGUGAAAAUAAACUAGGGUGAAGCACACAACGGAAGUAAAUACCAGAGCAAUCAGGCAUAUCAAACACUAUCGAGUAUAACAGUUAAGCAAUCAACACUCAAGCAGCAGGCUGAUGGAUGAUGCACACAGCUUUAGCUAACACUCCCGUCGCCCUAUUUCCAAAAUCUUUCCCUCCCUCUCCAUUCGUAGUAACCAUGAUUAUCACAUGAACAAAUAAAUUUGAUCACGUAGACAUUCCCAGUAAACUAGGCAAUUGGGUGAGUUUCAAACUAAUCCAAACCACGAAUGGGGAAUGAACUCACCACUUAACAAACACGACAGCCUGUUUGAAUCAGGUAACAGCUCAUGCUGGAUAAGAGGAAGCUCUAGACAAUCAAUUCCAUGUUUCCCCUGCAGCACAUGAUGAAAAUUCCAUCUUAAUCCCGGGUUUUCUAAUUUAUGAAUCCAAUCAGGAUACUACCUUCAGCAUACUAUACUUAUGAUGGUGUUAGAAAGGCACUAAAGGAAUGCCAGUACACUUGCAGUAUACAUUUGGUGGAAAAUGAUGCUCGAUAGCGUUUUGUUUUUUUUUCCCAACAAACAGCUGACUUUCCACUCAUUUCUACAGAAGCAACAGUAAGACAGUAAAACAAAGCCACAUUUCAGCUUAGUAUAUGAUCAAAAACCUAAAAUGCAGGAAACGACGCCCAUAAUACAGCAUUAAAACUCGUAAUUCAGGUCUACAUACUUUACACUGAAACCAACGGCCACAUCGUUCCUGGAGGCAACCAGAAGAUUUACGAGUAACUACAUCAAAUGCAAAAUGCUAAUACACAUACAUUAACAUAAUUGCUGCUACAGAGAGAGAGAGAGAGAGCGAGUGGUUACAUACCAGAGCAUUUAUGAGCUUCGCGUUUUUGCCACGCUCUCUAGUGACCACGACUUUCGGCUGCGACGUUGAGGAAGCAGACGACGCCGAAUUAACUGAAGACGAAGCACGCAGGCACGUUAUCCUGCGAAAUUGCAGAGAGGAGGACGACGACGACGACGGAGCAAGAGGAGGAGGAAGAUGAAGAGAGGAGGAGGUGAGAGAAAGCCAAGGCAUUAUUGUGGUAAACGUGGAGCUAGGAAAAUCGGGCGAAAGAGCCAGCUGCAACCCCCCUACCAAAUUUUUUAUAUUUAUAUAAUACUGCUACUGCCAUAUUUAUCCUAGUCCUGACCCACCUCAGUCUCACUCAAUUUAAUUCCUAGUGCCUUGACAAUUGAAAAACGAACAACUUUGGGCAAAUGUCCAAUUUGGUCCUAAAACUUCAUCUCACCAAUAUUUAUAAGUCUUUCGAAAUUUUUUUGCUUUUAUUUCUGUAACAAUCUUCAAUCGCUCAAUAUAGUAGUGUUCAAUAUCAAUAAUAACGUUGUCUAAAAAAAUUAAUGUGUAUGCGUCACACCAUACGAUUAGGAAUCAUAAGUAUUAUUUUUAUCUGUUUUUCUCAAUUAAUAUGUAUGAUGCGUCACAAAUCAUAAAUAUCAUAAAUCGCUCAAAUACUAGUACUAGUAGGAGUGUUUGGAUAGCAAUUUUUUUUCAAAUAAUAUUUUGUUUACAUCAAAAUAUAUUUUGCAAUCCAUCUUUUUAUCUCACAUAUAUCACAUCACAAGAAGCAUCACAAUAAUUAUUACAAAUAAUAUUCUAUCCAAACAAAUUAUUUGAAAUCAUAAAUAUUCUUUUCAUUGCCUUUCUCCUACUAGUUGAGUUAAAGUUAAGUUUAUUGGAACGGGUAAAUAAUUUCUCAGUCGAGCAACUAUUGACAGAGUAAAAUGGUGCAGAAACUCAAAGUAUAGGGGGCCAAAUGGUUGGGAUCAAAAGUUUGGGGACUAAAUCUAUCUUGGUAAAUUAGUGGAUGACUGGAUUCGCUAUUUCCGCAAGAAAAAUUGAUUAAUGAAGCUUGGUUGAUUGAAUGAUGACCUAAUCCAGAUAUUUUGGAAUAAAAGUGGUCUGACUUCGACGUAUUAGUGGUAAGUUGGCCCCCCAAUGGGUCGAAGGGUCACCGCGGCCCACCUCGUGAAAUGAUGGCUCCUGCUCCUUUAUUAGGAAACGAAGUGGAAUCGCGAUGCUUCCCAGAAGGGUUGAUCUGGGCCGUCCAUCGGAUCGGGAGGAUAAUAAAAGGAGUUGUUGGGGGAGUGAUCUGACGGUGAGAUCUGGGACUGGGUUCCCGUCGGGUGCGCGUCAACGUUGCUGAUUGAUUGUUGUGGUGCAACCCAACUCCCAACAUCGCAACCAAGCUCAUGCACAAUCUGCUGAUGUGUGCCCUCUGAUGAGGCAGGCCCGUACAAGCUGGAACGUGCUUGUGCCUUGUGAAAGAUGAAAUGAUAGUGGUAUUUGAAUUGAGUACGAUUCAAUAAAAUGUACUUCGAAAUUGAUUCUCUAAUUAUUCAGAUAAUAAUUAAGAUUGAAUAGCAUUUAUGUGUUUACCAAAUAUUUAAAUUCCACUUGAUUAGCAUAAAUUAAAAUUUAUGAUAUUUUGAUAAAAUUAAUAUCUGAAAUUUAAAAUCUAAAAUCUGAAAUUUGAAUUUUUUUUAAAUUAUUGAGUCGUUAAACACUAAAACUCUAAUAUCUGAAUUCUUUAAGUUUUGAAACCCUAAUAUUCAAGCAUAUUCUGCAUUAAGUAGUAAGUGAACCUCUAUCACAAAAUUUUUUUUUUUUUUAAUAAGAUGUUAUAUUUUUUGUUGUCAGACAAGUCUAAAGCUUUUAGACACUAGAUUGAAUGAUCAAACAAGAUCUAAUACAUGUAAAAACUUCAAGUUACACGAACUCGAAUCGAGUUUAGUUCAAUAAAAAAAAACUCAUUUAAACUUGGAUUAGUAAAUAAAUAAAUUAAAUUUAAAUACAAUUUUAACCUUAUUAAACUAGGCGACUUGAGUGUUGGAUUUGAUUAAACUUAUUUAUACACCUACUUGUACUUCCAUUUUUGGUAAAAUUCAUACUCUCUACUUUAACGGGAAGAUUAUCCGAUUUGGCAUUAUAGCCUUCCAAAAUGCAACCUUUAAAACGUACUCCCUCCCUUUUUUUAUAACUGACGUUUAAGGUUUUGCACACCAAUUAAGAAAAGUUUUUCAUUGUUUAAAUCUAUACACUACUUUCCUUCUGUACCCUCAUUAAUUGUCCAAUUCACCCAUGUUUUCUCUCACUAGAGUAUUAAAUGAUGCUGUUUUACUAGGCCAAAAGCAAUGCAAACUAACUCCCACCAAUUAUGAAAAGAGAGAUAAAAGGGUAAAAUUGUGAAAAAAUAAUUAAUGCUGCAUGGAGAUAAUAAAACGACAGAUAAAAGUACUUAAGAGCAAAUUUCUUAAAUGUCAAUUAUAAAAAAAAGGGAGGGAGUAUUUUUGUGCUUGAUCUCCUAAUGGAGCUCACACUUUGACAAUGGUGCAUGAGAAAUGGGACCUUUAUCAAAUCUCAAGAGCCCUCAAAUGAAGAUAUGCACACGCAGGGGCUGUCAACAAAUGCUUAACAAGAAUGUCUAGUGCUCUAGUUGUCACUCAAUUGGGCCUGACAACGUUGUACCACUAGCCUUGACACCAACGUGGUAUGUGCAUCAAUGGUAAUCGGCCAUCACUUCUUGUACAUUUAUUAUUUUUUUCUUUUCCUCCAGUCCACAGAACACCGACCUCGGCCGGAGUUAACUUUUCCGAAUGGGAGGAGCAUUCUGCGAGCCAUUAAGGUUUUUUUAUAACCUAGCAAGUGUGGCGCAUUUACCAGAAGGAACUGAACACUACUCCAAUUCAUAAUUGACCAAACUCCUCAACGAAUGUAUAUAUAGCAUAUAGCAACGUGAACACCACAGAAUUCGAAUACAUCCCUGCCUCUUUAUCGUCAUCAUCAGAGGUGCCAGAGCAGCAAGUGCUCGGAAUAAUAACAAAUAAAGAAUUAAGUGCUCACAAUCCAUAUCAAUGUUAUUUAUUCAAAUUAAGAAGUUCCAAUAUUAUGCUCACACUUCUAAACAAAUGUUUAAUCAAGCCCCUAGAGAACAACUACCUGAUUUCUAGUCAAAAUUCAGUUCCCCUCUCAGAUUUCGGAGGGAAUAACAGGGUUCCAAAUUCCCACACGCUCAACAGAGAGACAAAAGCACCCAUGUGCCUCAUCUGCUGAAUCGCUGUGAGCUCGGCCGUCUAGCUUACUUGUUGCUGGUGGGUUCCGUACAUGGGAUAGGCUCCAUAAGCAGCUGCUGCUGCUGCAUACAUCCCUGGGUCAUGAGGUGGUGGCAUCGCAUACCCAUAGCCAUCGUAAAAGUGACCUCCAUAGUAUGCCCCCGUCCACUGGUUUCCAAAUUCAGCUCUUAACUGCAAAAUAACAAUUCAUCAAUUAUGAAAUAGUUGCAGCCAACAACAAAGCAGAUGAAACAGCAUUCAGACUGCCAACUACUCAAGAUGCAGCCUAACAGAAUAUUUCUCCACCAGUACAAGUUAGUAAUGGCAGGAACCAAAAGGAGAAAAUGAAAGGAGAAAACAAAAAUGAGCAAAUGGCUAAUCGAGGUCAUUUCAUAUACACAAUUGUAGAACUGUUACUAGCCGACCUUUUGCUGCCACUAAAUCACUCCAAUGACGACAUAUUAGAAGCAGAUGACACACUAGAAAAACAGUUAAGCAUGCAUAUCCUGAUUGUCCGGAUUUUUCACAAAUUUUUCAUGAAAAGCGAAGGUGCCCUGUAAUAGAACGAAUUAAUUUUUUCAAUCUCAAUUAUUGAAAGAAACAAUGUGCACAGGAAUGAACUGAUAUAAGAGAAAGUUGCUACCUGCUUAUUUGCUGGAUUACGCCCCCAAGAGAGCCUCACAGUUUGCUUUCCAAUCGUGGUACCAUUCAACUUCUGCAGUGCCUCCUCGGCAUCAUUUCUGUCCAAAAAAUGGCCACAUUCAUUCCAUCGUACCUGAACUACCAGCGGAAAAUCUCUGUAUAAAAUUUGAAAUAUAAUGAAUUAGAUUGGACCAGAAACAUACCGAUUAGCAAAUUGUACAAAUCCACAUCCUUUUCCAACUGGAAUCUUCACCGAAACUAUUUCCCCAUACUGCAAGAACGGUUGCCUCAGAUCCUCAUCACUGACAUUUGGAUCAAGCCCUCCAACGAAUAUCUACAACCAUAAUAUAUUAGCCAAAGGAAGUGGGGGAAAAGAAAAGGAAAAGUAUAAAGGCUGAAAUCAACUGUUGUAUUAGGAGAAUCUCCAUCAGAUUGAGAGCCCUGGCCUGAUGAACUAUUAAUGUAUCCACCUGUCAAAACCAAUCCAAAACAAUUAGAACUUGUUGAGCAAAAAUUUCAGAGCCGAUGCAACUGCAAUAGAUCAAAAAUGUCCAUGGUCAAACUAGAAAACAAAAGGGUUUGAGAUAUCCCAUUACACAAGCAUCUGUCUCAUUUCAAACUAAACCAAUCACCCAAGAACUCGAUGUAGAAUGAUAUCCAAUUGACCAAGCCAUGUAUUAAGGCUUUGAAAUGAGAAGACAGGCAAAAUCACUUGGCAUAAAAUCUUUCAUCCUAGGGCGGCUUCACAACCAAAAAUGACAUCAAAUGUUCUCUUUGAUUCCAAAUUUCAUGGUCAUAUAAAGUCACAUGCUUCUGCAACUUAAGUUGCAGAUUGUCGUGCAUCUAUUUGCAUAAUGGAAUAGGAAAAAGUAACCUUAACAGAAUUCCCUUCUAUAUCUUUGUCUGUAUCUGUAAUUUAACAUAAAGGUAAUCAUUGUAGGCUGAGAUAAACAUAGAAGUUCUUAUCAAUAGUUACUUCAACCUUGGAUCAACAUAAAUGUAAUCCGUAACCCAAAAGCAUUGUAGAAGAGCACAAUAAAUAGAAAACACCUGACAGGAAAAGCUUGAAUAUCUAGUCAACAAACUUGAUCGCAUUGAUACACAGCAUCAAAUCCAAUCAUCAGCAAAAUCAAUGGAAGUUACCUUGUGAAGAAUACUGCUGUUGGUAUCCAGAUGAUUUCCUGGGGGUUGCAGCACCAAUACGCAUGGGCCUGCUUGAACAAUAGAUGCCAUUCAUUUCAGUCAUAGCCUGUGAUCUCUCAUUAUCAUCUCCAAACCUUACAAAACCAUAACCCUUUGAACGUCCAGUAUUUGCAUCAAUGACAACUUUAGCAGCUUUAACAGAAGGAUAUCUACUGGCAAAAGUAUCAUGCAAUAAGCUAUCAGUAACAUCUGCAGCUAAAUCUCCUACAAAGAUAGAAAGAUCAGAACCAUUAUUCGAACGCUUGUCGCCCGUGCUAAAUGUAGCCCAAUUCAGACGAAAAGGUUGUUCUGUGUUAGGCAUGAUAAUGCAUGGAUAUGCUUGCAGGACUUUCUCAGCUGCAGCAUGCGAAAAGAACUCCACAAAUCCAUAUCCCUCAGAGAAACCGGUUUGCUUAUUGCGAAUGACCUUUAUAGAGGCAACCUGCAAGAAGAUUACAUAAAUUGGGGGAAGAUGUACAACAAUUAUACAUGUAAGCACAUGAACAAGUUACUAAUGAUGAAACAUCAAGAAUAUAUUUUGCACACCCUAAAGCCAUAUUUUAGUUGUAGAAUUGGAAACAUGUUUGAAGAUGAUAACAAACUAUGCGAAGCAAAAUCACAAAUUUAAGGUUCCUGACACGAUUGCGUCUUAAACUCUCCAGGAGCAACGUCACACAAAUAUGCUGGAUUCUAACAAAAUUUGGACAAGACAAGUGCUUUGGAAAGAGAUAUUCUAUCACAUUUUCGCUCACAUGCUUCAUGCAUGGUGAUUGCUAUAUUCAUUUAAAUUACUGAAUGCUUAAUUAUCACCAUUCUUAAUUUGUCUUUCUGAAUAAGUAAAUCUUGUAAAAUUUGCCAGUUUUAGAGGUGCCUGAGCCUCUACUUCCACAGCACUUUGUUCAAACACACUGAACCAUCUAGCUGGAACAAUUAAAGCAAUUAAUGAAAAGUAAUUCAUUACUAAAAAAUGUGAUAUGAAAUAUUUUAUCUCAGUAUAUAGAUGUACAAAACUAAAAUUGCUACCUAAAAGUGUAUACUUAAAAAAAAUGCCAGCUUGGCACGGAAAAAGGGAGCUCUGGUAAAGAUUUGAUUUGGUCAAUUGAAUGAGCUGUCCUUGUUUGUAGAAAAAUCCCAGCUUUGAACCAAGAAAGAAACCUAGAGUUAAAAAUUCAUCUAGUCAUUCAAUCUGACAAACUUAGAAACUACAUUACAUAUUACCUCAAAAAUUUUAGUUUCUCUAAGAAAUAAUACCAAACAUGGGCACUAAUAUCCAGCUGUGCGCAUCAAAUCAUCAGCAUUCAAUUCUCCUUUCUCAUAAGAACUAAGCUGUUUCUCGCGACAAACUACAUCACCAUGGAUUCAUACUCUCUUUCAAAAUAAGAUUUAGUGUAAACAACAAAUAACGAAGACGAAAAUCAUUCUUUAAAUUCAUCGACAAAAAAAUCUACCAACCGACAUUGUAGGCAUAGCGCGCGUGAAAUCUUAAGCCAUGUUUACCAAACAGACGUUGAAAACAAUUAAAGCCCAGGAAAGGCAUGUGAAUAUUGAACAAGGUAAUGUUCAGAUUAGACCUCGCCAGUGGAAGCAAAGCAGCUGCGAAGGUAGUCCUCGUCCAUCCAAUUAUGGAGAUCACCGACCCAGAUCGUUCUAUUCUCACCAUUAGAUCCUCCACCUCCUCCUCCUUGCUGCUGCUGUUGCUGCUGAGGAGGCCCUUGAGGCUGCGGAGGAGGAGGAUGGUGGAGGUGGUGGUGAUGGUACGGCAUGUAGUGAGGCGGGUAAUGUGGGGCUGGCAUCAUAUGAUGCGGCAUUACCAUCGCGGCCGCUGGAUACUGCAUCGCCACCCACUGCUGCUGGGGUGCAGCCGCCACCGCUGGUGUCACCGCCGCAGGAGUAGCAGCCACCCCCUGCUGCGGCGGCUGGCUAUUGCUGUUAUUAUUAUUGUUGAUGUUACUAUUAUUAGUAUUUUGUGAUUCCGAACCGCUGUUGGCUUGCAUCUUCUUCUACAGUGGAAGAAAAGGAACACAAACACACGCACUAAAAAACACACUUUCUUCCUCCUCUAUUCAAACCCUAAUACUGUAUUACUACCCCGAAAAAAAAAAAGAAUAGUGUGUAUGAAAAUAGAUGCUUUUUAAUUUAUUUCAGAUUGACGGAGAGAUAAGCUUCGAAUACGUACAGGAUGAAUCUGGGCUCUGAGAGAAAAAAACAACAGGAGGGUGGAGGCUAAAGAGAAGAUUUUAAGUGAGGACGGCGGAUCCGUGGGAGAAGCCCUGGAGCAACGCGUAUGGUACGAUAGCCGUUGGAUGAAACGGUGGUUUUUAAUUAGAUCCGUUGGAUUAUUGGAUGAUGUGUAUACUUGAUAGGGUAGGGGGUACCCAAAAAAAGAGAGAGAAAGAAAGAACCCGGAUGGGAUAGAUAUGUAGGAGUAGUUAAAAAGUGGGGGUAUGCUGCUGUUUUUGGGCUUGGUCGGCGCUCGGCCGCCAGAUUUGGGAGAAGUUAGAGAGAGAAAGGGAAUGAGAGAUUUUCUCAGGGCUUUUUGGUUAGUGUGGAUGAUUAUUGUUGGUUAUUAUUUGUUUUUUGUUGGGGCAGGAAUAGGUUACCCUUUUAGGUCUGGGUUUGGGCUUUCGGAUUUUGGAAAAUGGGGAAUGCUGAUGUAUGAUAGAUAACUGAGCUGAUACGGCCUGCGCUACCGUAUUCGUAGUACUGCUUAAUUCCACUACUAUAAAGGGAAGUGACUUAUUAUUGUGUCUUUACCUUGGUUUUUGGUGUUGCUAAUGAUAACAUGGCCACCUUUUAGUCCAACCAAAACAAAAAAAAAAUGUCUAUCUAAGACUUUUUUUUUUUUUUUUUUUCAAUUGUCAUUCCUAUUUCUACUCCUACUCUAAUUGGAGGAGACUCAACUGAGCCUACGGAAAACCGAUGUAGAUAGAACCACCAUCCGACCAGACGGGUGCACUACGCACCCGUCUGGAUUUAAAGCAGAACCACAAGAGUGGCAUUCUAGUGAGCCUUAAGGACUCGGUGGUGGCCACCAGCCCAAGAGCUGGUGGUUUGUCUAUCGAAGACUCGUUAAGGUAUAUUUGUGUCCAUUAUUCAUUAGACACCUAUUAAAAAAAUUCAAAAUAUUUAUUUUUGUCCUUUCUACAUUAUCAUACAAGUGAAAAUGUUCUGCCUGCCAUGCACUUCGUAGUUCAUACAAGGAAACAAUACCUAGAUUAAUCCAAUGUAAGACUUGUAAAAUGAUGCAAUAAUUAGUACCUAAUGACCAAUCAAGUUAUUUUUAAGCAAUAAAAGAUAUUUUCUUGGAGAGGGUACUGCAAGGAAAUGGCAUCUUACAGUAGGUAAAGAAAUUUAUAAUUGUAUUUUAGUUUUUCAAUAUGUUUUAGCGCUAGAUUAUAUGUUCAGUCGUGAUGGAAAUGGGAUAAUGAAACUUAUAAAACCAUGGUAACUAUGUCAUGUAUAGAAGUCAGGUCCGAGGAUCACUAGAGUGGCAUACAAAUUAAACUUUAAACUUUAAGAAUGUGCCUACACACUCUAUUAUUGUGAAUCGAAUAAAAUUAGAUCAUGAUUAUAAAAUAUUUUUGUCAAUAGUUAAAACAUGUUAGUACUAUUUUUGGGCAUGUAUUGGUUAUACGUUUAUAAAGAUUAAAAAGAAAAUGCUAUAUUAUGUAAAUAAUGACUGGGGUUCCAUAUGAAUUAAGUAUUUUUAGAGGUAUUUUUCAAAUACUAUAUUGUAGUAUUGUAUAUCAAAAACUUGACACUACUAUAUAUUUUAGGGGAUUUUUAAAAUUUUAAAAUUUUAUUGGAAUUAUUUUAAAAUUUUGUUAAAAAAAUCUUACCACAACCAUCCAUCAAACCUCUUCUCCUCCCUCUAUCACUGCUAUCACCCCUUCCCAUCCUCUCUUUUCCACCGCCAUCAUCCCUUCCCACCUCUCUUUUCUCUCUUCCUAUUUAUCUUCCCCCUCAUUUUCCUUCUCUUUCUUUUCCCCACAACCCUUCCCUUGCCUCCACAAUCUUCUAGUAGCCUACGACCAACUAGAUCAUAGGGAAUUGGGAAAAGAGGAAGAAGGAGAGAGGAAGGGAGAUAAGGGAUAGAGGGGAGAGAAGGAGGGGGUGGUAAUGGAGGGAGAAGGAGAGGAGGUGGUGGGUGAUGAUGGUAAGAAUUAUUUUAUUUUUUUAAUUCUUUAAAUUUUUAUUAGGUGUAUUUCGAGUUUGGUAUGCAUGACUUUUUCUACUUACAUACAUACCUAAAUACAAAUAUUUUAGGUUUAACUUAAUAUGACUUUUUUUUAAAACUUCAAAAACAAAAACAACCAAAUCCAGGCAGACCCUACAUGUAUUAAGUUACAAUUUGAUGAGUGUAGUUUGUUAUGCAUGACUUCUUCUACUUACAUACAUAUCUUUUAGGUUUAAUUUAAUAUAAUUUUUUUUAAAAAAUCACAUUUAACACAAUUUUUGAAUUUAACUAAAGUUGAUUUAUUGAAAUCACAUUUAAGAGAAAAUCUAAAUUUUAAUUGGAUGUAAUUUUUUGAAAGUAAAAUUUACAACAAAAUCUUGAUUUAAUUGAAUGUGAUUUCUUGAAGGUCACAUUCAUAACAAAUUCAUAAUUUUAACUAAACUUAAUAAUUUGAAAGUCAUAUUCAGUAAAAUUUUUUAGACUUAACUUAAUUUGAUCUCUUAAAGUUAUAUUCAGUGCAAAAUUUUGAAUUUAAUUUGAGUUGUUCAAAGUCACCUUUACAACAAAAUCUUUAUUUUAACUGAAUGAAAUUUCUUGAACAUUCAGUACAAAUUCAUGAAUUUUACUUAAUUUGAUACUUUAAAAAUUACAUCAAGUAAAGCCUUUUAGGUUCACUUUAAUUUGAUUUUUUAAGGUUGCUUUGAUGUUAUUAAUUAUUUUGUUUCGUCCUAUCUUUUUUUUAUCAAAGUUUUGUUCAUAAAGGUUAAUAUACAUAUUUACUGAAAAAGCCAGCCUUGGUCUAAUGACUGAGGUUAAGGCUGGAGAAUGUAGAAAACCUAGGUUUUAAUCCCCCCACUAUCCCAUCCUUCCCACUUCUUAUCGUAGAGCUGUGGCCCGGUUGGCUUGGGUGGGACGGGACGGUGUCUGUAUAUGAUUUGCUUUAGUCCAAGUUAAAUAAAUUAUAUCUAAGGGCAAACGUGUUUAAAAUGAAACCUGUGAAGCCCCAUGCACCAAAAUUUUACAAGAAGGAUGUGAAGUUUGGCAUUGUUUCAGAGAAUGAAACGACAGCGAUAUUGAAGAAGAAAUAUUUAUCAUCAAUUCAUGCAUGUAAAAUUAUUCUAUUUCUACGGAGUUGGAUUUGCCAAGUUGACUUGUUGCUUGAGAUUUGUCAAAUUAUCACAAGGGUUAUAAUUGCAGAUCAACCAAAUGACAAAUAACCGACCAUGCAAAGCAACUGCUCAUUAUUUGAUAGAUUUGAAUUGUAUCAAACAAUGGGUAGACAUAGAACUGAUCAAAAUAAGAAACUCUUUAAUACAUCAGAAUCAGCUUAAUGGGUUACCAAACAUGCAGUGUUAAUUUGCUCAUCAACACAUUGUGACAUGAUAUUAAUAUCAAGUUUUUCUGUUUUCAAAAGUCUAAGUGAAGACUGCUUGUUAUCAUCCCAUUUGAAAUACCCAAAAAGAAAAAUAGAUAAAUUAUCAAAACUAUGGCCGUCAGAUAGGUGUUGCUUUUUUUGUAGAUAUACAAGCAACCACGAAAAUAUGAUACCAAAAAAGAUUGUUGUAAAAUUCAAGGAUUUUUAGCAAACUAAGUAGGGCUAUGCAGCGUUUGUGUUCACAACUAAAAACAGCUUUUGUAUAAGGGAAAGUCCGAUUAGGUUUUUCACUGUUACUUGCUUGAAGGAAAAGGGAAGAACAAAAAUUUUAAAGCAGCCCUUUUUUUAUGUGAUUAGACCACAAGAAAGGAGAAGGAAGGACAAAAGAAAUGCAGUACAAGCAGAACGGUCUUUUGUGCAAAUGUGAAAAAAGUGCUAAAAGGGUUGUCUCGAUUCAUAAGACUACUCGUCUCUAGUUAAUAACAAUGUGAAAGAAUCACAAAAUGCCGUCAAAAUUAUAAGUCCACAUCAUAACUUUAGGCUUAAAGUGGAGUAUGUGGGUAGAGUUGAAGGUUCCUUCAACAUGAUUUUUACCUCAUUUUAGCAAAACCUUGGCUACCGGCCUACAAUUCGCUUCCGGAACGAGCGGAUCCCUUAGUCUGCCUUUUCUUCGCCGGGAGCCCGCUCCACCGUUCACGAUUUAUGGAGUAUGGUACGUCUCCACUCUCCAACAAGCCAUGUCUUUGAGCACUUUGAAUGGUAAUGCGAUGUAAUCCAGCUUAGCCUCCAUUUGACCCAAACCCCCCCCCCCUCCCCCUAAAAAAAAGUAAUGCUUUGCUAAAAGAAAAAAUCGAUUUUGCAAAAUCAAUUUUUUCGUCCUUCACUUUUAAAAUGUUAAUUUUACGUCGCUUACGAAUUAAGUUAGCAAAACUUGAUUUCAAUCUAAGUUUUUUUUUUAUCACUUUUUACUCUGAGGUCAUUACAUGACCUACAUGCAGUCGUAUUUUAUGCACAAAAUGUCAGCUUCCACUUUUUCUAUCGUAAAAAUAGAUAUGAAUUUAGUUUGAUCCCACUUUUUUAAUAGAAAAAUGAAUAUGGUAGGGGUCAGAUCCUACUUUUUUAGAUAUAAAAAUAAAAUAUGGAUUGAAUCAUUUGUUUAACUAGGAAUAUAAUCCAAUCUUUUUAGCUCUAAAAAAUAAUCACGUGCAGGUCAUGUGAUGGAUUUAGAGUAAAAAAGUGAUUGAAAAUUUAGAUCAGAACUUAAUUUUGUCAAUUUGAUUUUACAUGGGAUCUAAUGUUACUAUUUUAAAAGUGAAGGAAGAAAAAUUCGUUUAGGAAAAUGUGAUAGGCGUUUUGAACGAUUUUUCCUUGCUAAAACUGCAGAUGACAACAGAGCCCAUGGCUCAUUAAUUUUGGUUUAAUUAAGAGAGAGAGGGAGAGAGAGAUUUUGCUGGAAUUAGUCGAGGUUACUAUAGAAUACUAGUUACCAACAACAGGAGCGAAAAAUUCCAGCAGAGGGUAUCGGAGAGUUUCUUAGGUCUGGAUUUUAUGAACAAUAAUUAUCAUUUGGACCUUAAUAAGAAAACAUGAACAUGACUUUUAGCUUUUAAGAAUUAUGUACCAUACCAUCCAUCAUUAAUUAAUUUUUUGCACUAGGUUGGUCCAAUCCGCUAGCAACUACUCUCCUGUGUCAGUAGCCUGAACUGACAUGCACCGAGAUUAAGUCAACUAAUAAGGCAGAUGAGUUGAGCCAAAAUUUAUUAAUUUGAUGUUUAGUGAAAAAGACACCUGCUGCUAGACUGUAGAAGCAAGUAAUAAGGCGCUUCAAAAGGUUAUAUAACUAAUGUUAGUAGUUCAAGUGUUCGAGUAGUCAACAAAAGGUAGAAAAGUACGUACAACUAUUGGUCUCCUUAAAAUUAAAAAAUAAACAGAAAGAGUAAACAACAAUAUAAUGAGCCUACCAGCACAUAUUGGUAUAAUAAGAGUUUCUCCAAUUUAGAAAGAAGGGGAAAAAAAAAAAAAGAAGCAGCACUUGUUCUAAUGCAGAGUAAGCAGGUCUAUAUAUAUAUAUAUAUAAAAGCAAGAGGUAACAUUGAAAACCAACGGAAAAUGUUUAUUAUUAUGUAGGACGACGCUGCGUACAUAGCAUCUGCAUCUGCAUCUUAGAUGAGCGGUACAAUAAUUAAUUAAGAUUAUAACGUCUUGAGAAAUUUUGACAGCAACUGCACAUUGAUCCACAUGGAUCGCCAUUCCACUACCUUUAAUUUCAUGGCAUAAUACUACUACUAUAGCAGGAUAGUUCUGUGGCAGCUGGUAAAACACAGCAUGCAGAUGUAGUAGCCUUCACGCAAUUAUACACUCCUCUCCUCUCUGUGUGUGUGCGUGUGUUUCCAUGCACAUGUAGGUCUGCUGCGUUAGGUACUACGCGAUCCAUGUCCAGCCGCCAGCCAUAUAUAUAUAGAUGGGUGGAUUUAAACUUUGUGACCGACACCGGGACUGCGGCCUGGUGUGGUGGAGCGGACAUCAUCUCCUCCAUCUGCUUCAUCCAAAGCUUCAUUGGCUACGGUGGGACUAGUCACGUGAUUAUCUCGUUGGGGAAAGGAAACCUGGCUUUGCAAGAUGCGGGCGUGCCCGCUGCUAAAGUCUUUUUCAUGCAAGCUCCUUUUUCCGUCGGCAGUAUUCUUCUCUGGUUUCAACAAUGGUCUCGCCUCGCUAGAGACGAUUUCGUAAGACAAAAUUAGUGCAAGAAGAAAAGCACUACUGAGCAGGACCCUGGCCUUAGUCGUCAUUGGCGAUUGAAUGAAUCGCUACAACUAAUUAAUACAAGAAGAAUAAUUAAGGAUGGUGUAAUGUAUAUGAAUAGAAGAAAGGGAUUGUUUGUGGAGUAAAUGAGUGUUUUGAUCAAAUGUAGUGAGGAGCGAGGUCUCACUUGCUAUUUAUAGACGAAAGAUUGGGAAAGGAUGGACCCCGGGAGCAUACCAUACCAACUUGGAAGCGUUACUUGCACGACUAAGGACCUUACAAAUAAAUUCUGUGGAUGUCAGUAUCAUAUUUACUUGCACAAAAUCUCCUCUCCCCCAUCCCAUCCGCCUCCUUUUGUAAGUUUCCUUUGAUCUUAUCACUCAAUCUAACCCUUCUUCUUCUUUAACACGUACGUUUACAAAUUUCGGAUGUAAAUUCACAUGGCUGAAAUCUAACGGCGCAUCUUUCUUUGCAACUAAACGGCCGAAUCCGAACCAUAUAUUCGUGGCUAGAAUAUGCAUUAAUUUAUAUGUUCAGGACCCCAAUAUAUUUGUUCCCAACUCGAGGGAGGGAAGCCACUCGAUCUACCCCAGUUGAGUUGGCCAAAUCAGUUUUCGUAAGUAGUACACACACGGUACAGUAGUGUCAAGUGUGAGAAUAAAGCCACACGGCUCUGCGUGAGUGACAUUUCUGGUUCAAGCCCAUUAUCAUGACUUGAGCAACUUGGCUUCCUUGAUUAAUGUCUACGCUCAAUAGUUGCUGGGGUAACAGUCUGCAGCUUCUCUCUGAGAUUUUCAUGUGCGAGUAUAGUAGGAUUGAUCUUUUUUCCGGGAUGGGAUCCGUCAAAAAUAUUGUGGGCGCUAAAGUACCUAAUGGUGACCGCACAAUAUAAAAGAAAAACAGACCUGCAGCGCAUGCAAGUAUUUAGAAGCCGGCCUUCCGAUUACUGAUUGAGGUCUGUAAUCAGAACACAAAAAUUGGAAGUGACAACAAAUGAAAAAUUGGGUAUUAGUUACACAUGUAUAGGCGUAUCAGAAUUUUAAGUUUGAGUUGCUUACCUUGAAAUUCACAUCAGAGUUCUCAACCAAAAGGCAAAAAAAUUUAUAUUUCCUGAAGGACAAACUGAAACGCAAUCCAUGAAGUUGUCAAUCCAACUGUACUUUUCUGUAUAUUACCAUGUUCUCUGCUGCACGAAUUCUCCGAUCUCAAUUCUCAAACUCUACCACUAGUUACUGUCAGCUCAGUGGCGGAUUUCACGUUGGGGGACUGGGAGUACGGGCUCCGCUGCCCCUUAGAUUUCUAUAGUAUUAAUAGAAUUUUGAUAUAAUUUCAGAUGUACGUCCCAAGUUUUUUUAUGAAGGAAGUGAAAGAAUUACGCGACCCUCUAAAUUGGUUUAUGAACUAAUAUUUUAAAAGGAUAUAUGAAUUACAAAGUUUAAUUUGAAGUAAACUAAAAAAAAAUUUUUCAUUUCAAUUUGUUGGUGAAUAUUUUUUUGCUUAAAAAACUAGAAAAAGCGUUGGUAAAAAAUUUUAGUAUUACUUUUGCUCCCAUUCAGAAUUUUUUCUGGCUCCGCCACUGUGUCAGCUAAUAAUGCUACUUUUAACUGAUGUUACAAUGGGUACUUAUUCUUGAUGGGAGAAAAGCUCAUAUACACAAAGCUUUGCGGUCCAUCAAAUCCUAAAUGCCUUUUUCUAGAAAGGAUAGUGAAAGUUUCCCAGUUGUUCUUGCUCCGCUUGUCUAGCCAUAACAAGGAAUUUGUCUUGAUGUUCUUCACAUAUAGUUAAUGUGCGCCAAUGUAGCCUGUAGAUCAAAUGCACAGUGCAAGUUCAUAGUUUUUGCAAGGAGGAUAUACUAAUGUUCGCCUCUCGGGUGCAGCUCAACUGAUCGUGUCGUCUAUUUUUAUAACAUUGAUUACGGUUCGACUUUCCUCGAAUUAAUGCGCUAGGCAUUUUAAGGGGCAGCUCCGCCGCAGAGAAUUAGUUUAGGUGAUUCCACGAUACUCCUGUGGUGACAAAAUUAUAUAUAUAUGUAUAUAAUAAUGUUCCCUAAUGCGAUCAUUCACUUGAAGAAAAAUGGUCGAUCCACGUCCAUAGUUUUCUGGUGCAUAAUUGUGGACAAGUCAAACAAGCAAUUUAUGUACUCAAAACAUUCGCAGUAUCUAUAUCGUUUCAACUAGAUUCGCAUCAUAAAGAUUCCUUUGCCUGGUUGGUUCCCAUAAUCGAGGAAAUUUGACAAAAUGUAUUUUAACUGUUCAGCCAAAAAGGGGUGGACCGUAAUUGAAUCAAAAAACUGUUGAGACCAGACCAAAUUUGAGUUCUGCAAUCAUGCGUUGGUUGAAUGUCUAAUGCACUUUCUGAGGGCCGCCACUACCGACUGCUGAUUUUUCUUGGGAAGAAAACCAUCCAUUGCUAUACCAUGGGUGUUUACCUUGAAUGUUAACAUUCUUCACUCAGAACACCAGCACUAUUCAUAGGUGCUUGGAGGAAGUUAUCAUAGGUUUUGUUUUCAAAAAUUACUUGAACAAACUUGAGAAAAGAAGCCCGCACAAUGCACGGCUAUUUGGUGCCUGUAUUAAAAUACUGUGGUUUGUCUUUUAGUGAUUUGUGAGAUAAAUAGUAAUUUGUAAGUAUUGUUAUCUUUAUAAAAGCAUGAAACUCUAGAGAUUGCAAGUGCAAUUUCUUUUUCUUUUUUUUUUUUUUUGUGUCGAAUCACCUGUGAAUUGUCUAAAUCCUUGUUCACAACUUUUUUACAAAAAAAAAAAAAGAAAAAAAGAAAAAGCAAAUCACUUAAAUACAUACCUCAUCAAACUUUUUCCUUCUGAUAUAUAAUUAACUUCCAAAAUUAUGCAGUAGCUAAUUACACGAAAAAGCUAUAUAGUCAAAAUAAAAAGAAAAACAUGGGCAGAAACAUUUGCAUGGAAGUUGGAAAAAUAUUUCUCAAUGCAAAAAGAGUAAAGCUUUGCCAAAAAGAGUAAACCUAUUGGUGGUCAACGGUGCAAAAAAAAAGAAUGAUGAAAAGCACACUUGCCCGGAGAGUAGAAGGAAGAGAUACAGGAGAGUAAAAUCAAGGAAGAGAUAGCUAUAACAUCGAGGAGAAAAUCCGGUUCUCAGGAACUUAGGAAUUCAUUGGGCUGCCAAGUUACUUACCAAGUUUAAAAGAAUGCAUCUCAGGGGCCUGAGAUUCAGUAAAAAGGGUAUGAACAUUGCCUUAAAACCAGUUUUUGUAGUUGCAAGUUGUAACAAGCAGCAAAAUAAUUACUUCCCUAGCAGGCUACUAAUCUACAUUAUAAUUAUUCAUAACUUUGAAUGAUUUGUAACCAUAUUUAUGGGUAAAAAUGUCGAUGACAAACAACUUAAUAUAGACCCUUAAAGUCAUUUCACAAAUAACCCAGCAUUGUCUGCUUGUAUGUACGUUCUACUAAAUCAAUUGGUCUGCCAAAACUCAAAUUGAUCCUCCAGGAGCAGAUGAAAUUUUGAGAAUUGUACCCUCAACUACUGCUUCUUAUCUAUGUAUAGGAAAUUUUAAAAUAAUACUUUAAUCAAUUUUAUCAUGAUGUGAUGCAUACGGAAUAAAAACGAAGGUGAGAAGGUAAGAAAUUAAUUGAAAAACUUGUUUAUAAUGCAUACUAAAAAAUUUUGAUUUGCAUAUCGAAAGACUUAGGACCAAUCUCAUUUUUGCACCAGAAAAAAAGUGUGGAACUCCAAUAUCAGGAGAACUCAUCGUAUUAACGUGUGAAACAUGGAAGAAAAGUCCCGUAACACCCAAGGGAAGAAGAGUCUUGUGGCACUCAAGAGCCGUCUCGGAAAGCUAUGAAUAGUUGUUGUUUCAAUGAAUUUGUUCACUGAUAAGGUCACGAUUCGACUUUUUGAUUGUUAUGGACCGGUACCAAGCUAUGUUUUCAGAACCGGACCGGAUAGCGACUCGGCCGAGGUCAGGGGUCAGGGGUCAAUGGGUUCGACCGGGGGUCGAUAGGGGUCGAACCGGAUGACGUCAUAAAUAAAAAUUAUUUUAAAAUUAAAAUGUUAUAUAUAUAAUAUCUAAUAAUAUAUUGAUAUUAAUAAAGGCAUAUUCAUAUAUAUUUGAUGUUUCAAAUAUAUUUAACAAGAAAAUACAAAGAAAUUAGAACAAUCAAGUAGCAAUUUAUAUUAUUUAAUAAAUAUUAACAAGUUUAGAAUUAAAAUUAUGAAUUUAAUUGAAAAAUAACAUCAAAUUUUAGGACAAUAUUUAUAAAGUAUCAAAUAUUUGAGGUAUAUCAAUAAGUUUUAACAAUUUAGGGGGUCAAAACAUAAUAUUAAAAAGUUUGAAUUUUUUUUUUUAAAAAAAUACUGUUGAACCGGAAAAACCGGUUUUUUCCCGGUCAAACCCGGUCAAACCCGGUUUUUGACCGGCUUUGACCGGGUUUUAAAUUUCCGGUUUUCUAAUGUGACUCGGACCGGCUACCUGGCCGGUUCCCGGUUCAACCGGUUCGACCGGCCGGUCCGGUCCGAGUUUGAAAACAGAGGUACCAAGAUCAAGGCCUAGACAGGCAGAACUAAUUUUAACAACAGGAACGGUAACAAUGAAAUGGUCCAUUCUUUAGUGAGAUUUAGAGGCGGCAAUUUGUCCCAACUCCCAAUGAACUGCCCAUGUCCAAAGGGACUUUGGGCGGAAUGGGUAUUGUAAUUUGAUAUUGAAUUUAAAAUGGGAUAUAUCUCAAUUGUACCCAUUAAUUGAUAGGAAAUAUUGAGAAAUACUUGGGUACCCACUGAACCCAAAUAUCUUCCCAAAAAAUUUCAUUUCUAACCUGAUCCACUCCUCUCCCUGAGAAGCUUCAGGAGCAAUUGCCGGUGAGUAGUGCAUAUGAGGCUCGUCCUGAACAAUUUGUGUAGCAGAUGAAUGCUUAUGUUCCAUAUGCGAAUGCAUGAUAUAGUCUAAUAUAAAGGUUCACAUCUUCAACCAAAGCUAAAGAAUGGCCUAAAUGGGUUCCAAUAACCAAAAACUUUGGUUUGGUUGAUUAUUUGAAAUAAUUUUUUGAAAAAAAAAAUAUUGUAGAGUGUAAAUCAUUCUAGAGCGUAAAAUAAAUUCAUGAAAAUAUAUAUUCACAAUAAGACUAAAAGAAAUUUAAUAAAUAAAAAAUAUUAAAGUUAUUUAAAAAAUAAAAAAUGAAUUAAAAGAAAAAAAAUAUGUAGAAAAUAGAUUUGGGUAUUGGGCGGGAUCAAUCUAAACCCAUCCCAAAGUGAUCCCGCCCAAGUUAGUCCCAAAACACGUAUGGGUAAGAUUGGGUCCAAACCCAUGUGAUUUAGUUUCAUCUCAAACCCAAACAAAUCCCGCCCAUUUUACUAUCUCUAGUGAGAUUAUAUGAACAAAUGCCUGAAUCAAAAUAUGUUAUUGCUAUGGGAGCAUGGACAAUUACAGGAGGGGUGUUCAGUACCGAUUCUUGCAGUACUAUUCGAGGGAUUGAUAAGCUAAUUCCUAUAGAUGUCUAUUCGAGGGAUUAAAUUUUUCCUCUGCCUCCUCCUAAUUCUGGUCAUUAUAAUACAUAGUACUGUACCAUUGGUGCGAUUUUUGUACCUUUUUUUUUUUUUUUUUCCUUUGUGCCUAGAAAAGAAAACUCCAUUUGACUCAAUCAACUUUCAUGUGCAACAAUCAUUUUGUGGAAUGACUUCUCAAAUUUACCUCUCUAUUUUGAAAUUGUAGUUGUCACUAACAGAGAAAAUAAGAAAAUAACUUUCUUACGUGAUCAUUAUCAAAAGCUAAGCUAAGAUCCUGUGUUUUAAAAUCGGUUGAAAACGUGCCCUAAUUUUCCUUGAUGAUGGGGUCAAAAGCAACCGCCGGAUAUCGGAAUUUCUAUUAUAUUUCUCAAAUGAAAAUCUCGGUCAUAAAACGAAGUUGGAGGCAAGCUUUGGAGGUCAAAAUGUAAACAGCUGUUUUACGAGCUGGACCCCCAAAACAGCCCCCCAACUGCAUGACACGUGUUGCCCGUCGUGCGGUAGUUGCCGGUGUUGCGUGCACCGACCACGAUGCCUCGAUCCGACGGUCUCAAACUAGGACCCCACACGCUUCCCAAAUAGUACUAUAUGCUGCUAUUACUAUAUACUAUAUAUAUAUAUAGAAACAAAAGAAAUUUUUUAAUUCCACAAGCGCGAAAAAGGCCAAGAUCGACACAACACUGCUAGUUGUGAAUUGCAAGCAAUCAUUUAUUCAUUUGCGCAACCUCUGUCCAAUCACUUCCUUUUUAUUUUGUACAAACAUGUACUUGUAAAACCAAGAAAAAA
rnacentral:lncRNA from 1 species